CCCAGAACUGGACACAGUAUUCCAGGUGUGGUCUGACUAAGGCAGAAUAGAGUGGAACUAUGACUUCCUUUAGGGACGCAGGUGACGCUGUGGGUUAAACCACAGAGCCUUGGACUUGCUGAUCAGAAGGUCAGCGGUUCGAAUCCCUGUGACGGGGUGAGCUCCUGUUGCUCAGUCCCUGCUCCUGCCCAGCUAGCAGUUCGAAGGCACAUCAAAGUGCAAGUAGAUAAAUAGGUACUGCUCCGGCGGGAAGGUAAACGGUGUUUCCAUGCGCUGCUCUGGUUCGCCAGAAGCAGCUGAGUCCUGCUGGCCACAUGACCCGGAAGCUGUACGCCAGAUCCCUCAGCCAAUAAAGUGAGAUGAGCGCCACAACCCCAGAGUCAGCCACGACUGGACCUAAUGGUCAGGGGUCCCUUUAGCUUUAUGACUUCCCUUGAUCUGGACACUAGACUUCUGUGGAUGCAGCCUAGAAUAGCAUUAGCUUUUUUUGCUGCUGCCUCACACUGUUGACUCGUGUGAAGCUUGUGGUCCACCAAGACCCAGAGAUCCUUUUAAAAUGUACUGCCAGUAAGCCAGGUGUCCCCCAUCCUAUAUUGGUGCAGGUGGUCCUUGACCCUGAAGCCCAGGUGUCCUCUUGGCAGCUGUUCCAUUUGCUCACAGGUGAUGGUGUCCUCUUGUUGUUGGUCAGAGGUCCAAGCGCUCUUUGAGUUAAACUGUGGAACUCCCUCCCACAGGGCAGCUUUAAAAGCAGAUGAGACGAAUUCAUGGGUAGCAACUGGAUUAUGGCUGCAGCUGCUGAGCUCCUUCCCCACAGGCCUCCUUUUUUGGGGUGGGGGUCCUGAGAAGGGGUGCGUUGCAGCUGCCAACCCCACAAGCAUGUGAAGAAAGCCAACCCUCUCACCUUGGCCCAAGGGGACUCUGCAGGGAGGCCUGGCCAGGGUGUUCCCAGGGGGGUCUUCUUCCUGGGCAUCUCCCCCCCCCCCCGCCAACAACCUCCCACUUAGCACUGACAUUUCCAGCUGCUGGAAUCUGGCCUUGACCAGAGAAAAUGAAUUUCAUGGGAUGAGGAAGAUUCUGAAAGGCUCCUCCAACCUUGUUGGUGCUUUGGUCCCCGUUGCCAUGGCGAUCUGAGUCACAUCCCACUCUUGCUGUGCUCUUCACCUAGGAUGGGUGGGGUGUUUUUCCCCCCAGAUGGGGGGGGGGGUGGAGUGCCCUGUGAUUGUCUCUCCCUCUCCCUUCAGUCAUUUCUCCAUCUUCUGUUCACAAAAGGAGAAGAGGGAGGGAGGGAGUGGCUGCAAGUGAUACGCCCCCCCACCUCUUGGAAUAAAGAAAAUGCCCCCCCCCAUGUGGCAGAGGGGAGCAUUUUAAUGUUUUAAUGUAUUUUAAUCUUGUUUUUUAAGUUGUAUUUCAAUCAAUUUGUUUUUAUAUCAGUUGUUAGCCGCCCUGAGCCCGGUCUUGGCUGGGGAGGGCAGGGUAUAAAUAAAAUUUAUUAUUAUUAUUUAUUAUGAUUAUUAUUAUUAUUGGCAUGGGCUGCAGCCUGGCCUUGGCAUAUCCUUGGCUCUGCCCUCCCCCUGAAACCAGGAAGACUGGAAGGCCUGGAGGUUUUGAAGCAGAGCUUUGCUUUAGUUGUGAUUCCUGCACCCCAGAGGGUUGGACUAGAUGACUUUUGGGGGGCCCCCUGGCUCAACUCUACAAUUCUGUGACUCUGAGCCACCCCUGCGUUUGCUCUGCGCUUCCCCUUCCUGCGGGGGGAAAGCGCUUGUUCAGUUUCAUUAAACUUAAUUGUUUUCUCAUUACUCUACCAAUUUGCCUGCGAGCGCAACAUGCUCCGGCUCUCCUUUGCCGCAGGUGGGGGGGGGCACAAGCCCCUUUGGGGCGGGAGAGGAGGGGGGCCUGGGCGGAUGAGAACCGGGGGGGGGGGUAAAGCAGAGCAGUCAGGGGCUGCCUCCUCCAAGCUGCCAGGCCAGACCCAACCAUCCUGGGCAGCCGGGGGUCUUAAAGGACAGCCUCUUGCCGGCUGGAGGGGGAAUCUCUGGGGUCUCCUGCCUCAACCAAUGGGAGGCCUUGGGCUCAGGAACCCCAGGUGACGUUCCACCAACUUGGGUGUGUGAUAAGAAUUUUAAGGCAGGCAGAGGGCCUUCUCGGUGGUGGCGCCCACCCUGUGGAACGCCCUCCCACCAGAUGUCAAAAAGAACAACAACUAACAGACUUUUAGAAGACAUCUGAAAGCAGCCCUGUUUAGGGAAGCUUUUAAUGUUUAAUAGACUACAGUGGUACCUCGGAUUAGGAACUUAAUUCAUUCUGGAGGUCUUUUCUUAAGCUGAAACUGUUCUUAACCUGAAGCACCACUUUAGCUAAUGGGGCCUCCUGCUGCCGCCGCACCACCAGACACAAUUUCUGUUCUCAUCCUGAAGCAAAGUUCUUAACCUGAGGUACUAUUUCUGGGUUAGUGGAGUCUGUAACCUGAAGCGUAUGUAACCCGAGGUACCACUGUACAUAGAUCAGCACAGGAAGACUGACCUGAAACAAUUUUUGAUUCCCAAACUGAGCAAAUGUUUUCUCUGCAAGGUCAAAGGAAAAUGGAAAAGCCUCCCCAUUGUCUUUUCCUUCCCAAAUCCUGUCUUCAGGGUAUGUCUGUGUUUGAAUAGGGUGUGAGCCUGUGACCUGACUCAGGAACUAAGUAUUUAUCAUUACAAAAGACUGGCCAGGCUCCCCAGGCAAUCCUAUCAAGUGACCAUUAAACAGGUAACCUGGCAGACAGGAGGUAAACAAAGCACUCAGAUUUCUGCUGUAGACUGCCCCUUCUGUGAUGUAGGUAUGAUGUCUCUGGGGGUGGUCUGGGGGCUUGCACACCAUUGUUCUGGGUUCCUCCUCCCUCCUGCGUGUGGUGAGUGAGGACCCUGUUGCAGCAGAUCAAUAAAGAUCAGGCUUACGAGCUGCUUUGCUUCUCAAGAUUCUCUGCUUGGCCUCUGUCAUUUUCUCCUACCAAUGGGGAACCCACGUAAGGACUCUUGGAUACCCCAUAAGGGGGGAAAGGGCAUAUUUUGUUUACAACAGGUGGCUCUAGAAAGAGGAUCAGACCUAUUCUCGGAGGAGGAGAGGUCUAUAGGGGGCGACUAGGCAGGACGGCUCUGCCCUGGCGCCACAGUCAGAGGCAGUAAGCGCUUUGGAAAGCCAGCUGCCAGAAGCUGCAAGAGGGGAGAGUUGCUCUCGGGCUCGGAUCCUGCUUCCCAAAAGAGGCACCUGGUCAGCCUCUGAGAGCAGGAGGCUGGACCAGGUGGGCCAUUGGCUCAAUCCAGCAUCUGGGCUCUUCUGAUGUCCUUAUGGAACUUCCAGCUCCAGAGGCAGUCUAUCUUGGUUCCUAGGCUCUUAAAGGCAUCUGGCCACUUCCAGGACAGGAGGCUGGACCAGACAGCCUCCCUUUGGCCCCAUCCAGCAGCCUUUGCAUAUAUAGAUAUCAUUUUUAUUGAUUUCCCAAAUUUCACCACAAAUUAAGACAAAAUUAAUACACCCCCCUCCCCAAAUUUGGUUUCCUGCACUGUGUUCUUGACAUGUCAAAAGUUUCCUCUCGUUGCUGCUUUAUUUCUGCUCAUGCUCAUUGCAGGGGUUAGACUAGAUGUCCCUGGUGUAGCAGGAACCCCCCCCCCCACCCCAAUCAUUCAGUUUGUACAAACUUCACACACUCACACUCACACACUACAUACGCCACACUUCUGUUAUAAAUUCAUAGAAAAAUCAACCAUACAUCGGAUUUGCACUGUUCCAUUUUUAUUUUACUCCAUAUGACAAGGACUAUCAAAGGGGGGUGGCUUGGUUCUGGUCAGCCAUAAUCCCUUCACCAUGCCAGCACAUCCACAGGAGCCCUGCCCAGUUGCUAUGCCAACCCUGAUGGUCCUAGACAGAAGACCAUCAAGAUCACAAAGAACUUGCAUAUGGGAGUGGAUUCAGCAUGGACUGAAACAAAGGACAAUGAUCAGAUCUUCCCUCUGGGGGCAGGAAACUGCCAACUCCCCUUUGUCUCCUGGAAGUGACUCAUGGGGAGGGGGAAAGGAGGAACCAGCCAGGUGACAGGACACUCAGGUUACCACCACAACUCCUCCCUCAACCCCUCCUUUCUGUGAUGUAGCUGUGAUGUAUCUGAGGGGUGGGCUUGACCUAGAGGAUGGGAAUUUCAAAAGUUUUUAUAAGGUCUUGCACACCAUCUUUCUGGGUCUUUCCUCUCUCCUGCAAGUGAGGGGAACACCCUGUUGCAGCAGUUCAAUAAAGGCCAAGCCUACAGGCUGCUGUUUUGCUCCAAGUUAUCCUGGUUGGUGUCUUUGUUUUUGUCCAAGGGAGCCCUCGGAUUUUCCCGGUAACACUGGGUAGCCCCUUCCGACUCUACAAUCAUUGUUUUCACCAGUAGCUUCUGCCCUCGGGAGCAAAACUGCAGCAGAAAUGGAUUCCUCCUCCCCUCUGCUGGUUUCUGGGAACACUUACAAGAUUCCUCUGGGUAGCGGCACUUCUGCUGGAAGGUCCAAGGCAGGAGGGGGGGUUGGCUUCCCCAGGCCCACUCCUCCAGGGGAUCUCUGCUUCCCGACAAGAACGCAAUCCCACUAUCUGCAGAUCUAUAUUGGCUUCUCUGGGCUCAAAGGCUGAGGAUGGAGCAGCUCCAGACAGGACAAGAUCCAGCAGAGAGAUGGGAAACUCAGUAGGUAGAGCGUGAGACUCUUAAUCACAGGGGUUUGUGCUCUAUGUUUUUUUUUUGGGGGGGGGAGAUUUUUGCAUUUCAGGGGGUUGGACUAGAUGACCCUGGGCUCCGAUUCCAGCGCCACAAUUCUAUGAUUCUAAGACAGAUGAGCUGCAGGCAGUGCCGGGUUUACGUAUAAGCUAAACAAGCUCUAGCUUAGGGCCCCACUCUCUUGGGGGCCCCAAAAAAUUUAAAGGAAAAGAAAACCUGGAUGUUGUGAUAGGAGUUUUAUGGUCUUAGAUAUAUGGUAAUGUCCAUAACCGCACAUACAUAGAUCAACACAGGAAGACCAACCUGGAACCAUUUUGAUUCCUAAACUGACCAAAUGUUUCCUCUGCAAGGUCAAACUGGAAAAUUCUCCCCAUUGUCUCUUUCCUCACAAAUCCUGUCUUAAGGACACAUUUAAGAUAUGAACAGGGUGUGAGCCUGUGACCUGGCCCAGGAAAUAAGUAUUUUACCACUACAAAAGAAUGGCCAGGCUCCCCAGGAAAUCCAAUCAAGUAACUUGCCAGACAGGAGAUAAACUGAGACAGGAGAAAAACAACAUGCAAAUGUUCUGUUGUAGACCGCCUUUUCUGGGAUGUAUCUGAGGGGUGGUCUUAGGUUACACCCCUUCUGUGAUGUAUGCAUAAUGUUUCUGGGGGUGGUCUUGAUCUGUUGUUGUUUAGUCGUUUAGUCAUGUCCGACUCUUCAUGACCCCAUGGACCAGAGCACGCCAGGCACUCCUGUCUUCCAUCUAGAGGAUGGGGAUUUCAAAAGUCUUUAUAAGCCCUUGCACAGCAUUUUUGUGGGUCCUCCUCCUUUCCUGAGUGUGAGGGGAGACCCUGUUGCAACAGAUCAAUAAAGAUCAGGCUUACAAGCUGCUUUGCUUCUCAAUAUUCUCUGGUUGGCCUCUGUUAUUUUCUCCUACCAAUAGGGAACCUAUGUAAGGACUCUAUAUGGGCUCUUGGAUACCCCAUAAGGGAAAAGGGCAAAUUUUUUAUUUACAACGAUGUACAUUUCCAAAAUAUAAGAUAAAAAACAAAUAAAAUGAAAUCUACAUACAGCAACCGUGUUUUGUGUUGUGUCGGCUCCCAUGUUGUAAGUCAUGGGCCCCUCCUGCUUGCCUGCUCCCUCAAAUAUCCCUGGUUUGCUCCUUUCUAUAUAUAGGGUGCUGACAUUCUGCAUGGAGCGGUUGCAGGGCAACAUGGGUAAAUGGCUUGAGAUACCUGUUCGGUCCAUAAAUUAACAUAUAGCAUAUGUUCAACACAAAACAGCAACAAUUUGUUGUUGGCAAAGGACAGCUGGACAUAGAAAGGGCCGCAUUGCCUUCAGGAGCUGAGGGCCUCAUCAAACCUCAAUCCAGCCCUGGCUGCAGCCCAGCUGAUCCCAGAGGACCCUGUGGCAGGGAGUUCCAUAGUUCAACUCUGCACACUUUCUUCCAUCUGUCCUGAGAACCUCCCAGCAUUCAGCUUCCUUUUCGCCCCUGAGUUCUGCUGAGAGGGAGGGAAACCUUUCUCUCUCUCUGCUUUCUCAAGGCCAGGCAGCAUCUAGUUCUGAGAAACUAAUUUUAUGCCGGCCUGCUUCCUAAGCCUCCUCUCUCAGCUGGAUUCCAAAAACCAACAGCUUGUUUCUCUCUCUUCCUCCUGCAGAUUCCUCCUUGACCUCCAGCCGGGGGGGGGGGGGAAGGAAGACUUGCCCCCUCUGUGCCCACCCUUUGCAGAAUAAGUCCCUUCUGCUGCAUGGAGCCCCUUCAGAAGAGACUCUGGAUUUUGAGGUCCUCCUUGCCCCAAGAUCACAUUGGCAAAGGAGAUGCUUCAGAGACGGGGUAUUGACUUAACAAAAGAAAAAGCUCUCACCAUCUUUUAGCAGGUCCUCCUUUUCUCCAGGGCCCCUGAAUCAAGAACCACACGGCUGUAAAGGAUCCCUCAGAACCUCCACAGUCAGAGAUGCUUCCGAAUAGCAGCUGCUGGAAACCACAGGAGGUGAGAGGGCGCUUGCGCUUGGAUCCUGAGGGUUUCCCCGUGAUGGGAAUCUGGCUGGCACUCUUGAGAAGAGGAGCCUGGGUUUCAUGGGGCCCCUCUGGCCUGUUGCAGCACCACCUUCUGAGGCUCCUGUGGAGCCUCCAGGCCCAGAGACAGUCUACAGUGGUACCUUGGUUCUCAAACAUAAUGCAUUCCGGAAGUCCAUUCUAAAGCCAAAGCGUUCCAAAAUCAAGGUGCGCUUUUCCAGGGGAAAGUAAUGCAAAACGGAUCAAUCCAUUCCAGACUUUUAAAAACAACCCCUGAAACAGCAAUUUAACAUGAAUUUGACUAUCUAAUGAGACCAUUGAUCCAUAAAACGAAAGCAACAAACAAUGUACGGCAGUCACACAAUCAAUCAAUCAAUCAAUCAGUCAGCAGCUGAACUGGGUUCCACACAGUCACAAAACAAACCAAACAAAAGAGCUGCGAAAACGCAAAAUAUGCAAAAUAAAUAGCAAAAACAGACAGACCUGAGCAUAACACUCAAAUCAGAGCAUGUUCGGGGAAAAGUUCGCAAACCGGAAGGCUUACUUCUGGGUUUGCAGUGUUUGGGUUCUAAGUUGUUUGAGAAUCAAGGCAUUUGAGAACCAAGGCACCACUGUAUCUGGAUUCCUAGGUUGUCAGUGGCAUUUUAUGGUGCUGGAGGAGACUCUGGAGAGUCCCAUGGACUGCAAGAAGAUCCAACCUCUCCAUCAUUAAGGAAAUCAGCCCUGAGUGCUCACUGGAAGGACAGAUCCUGAAGCUGAGGCUCCAAGACUUUGGCCACCUCAUGAGAAGAGAAGACUCCCUGGAAAAGACCCUGAUGUUGGGGAAGAUGGAGGGCGCAAGGAGAAGGGGACGACAGAGGACGAGAUGGUUGGACAGUGUUCUCGAAGCUACCAGCAUGAGUUUGGCCAAACUGCGGGAGGCAGUGGAAGACAGGAGUGCCUGGCGUGCUCUGGUCCAGGGGGUCACAAAGAGGCGGACACGACUAAACGACUGGAUGUCCUCUUAGGUUCUUGUGGCAGGUGGAGAGGGAAAGGUGCUGCUGAUGAGCUGGUCCUGAAAGGAAGGCUUGGCAGGGGAGGAGAGCUGGAGGAAGAGGCUGGGGAGGGGCAAAGGGGGUGGGCAGCCAAAGAGGCCUACCAGGAGCCCCCAAAGGCAUGGCCAUCAGUCACAGCAAAAAAACCCCAAACCCUCCCCCUUCUCCAGCAUCUCCUGCGGUGAUGAUUGCUAUUCAACUCUGCCUUUAUGAAUGGGUCUGUGCUGGGCAGAGGAGGCCGGUGUGUGUUUAAUCUCCAUUUCCUCAUUGAUUUCUUCUCCUGAUGGCUGGCCGGUUGCUGCCACUUUCCGUGAUGGAUCUGCCCACUUUAGCCAAAUUGCCGCCGCCGCCACCGCCAGACCGGGGGCCUCCUUCCUCCUCUGAUGUGAAGGAUGGGAUCAAUUCUCCAGGUGGAAGAAGGAGAUUGCGCUCCGACCGAGCAUGCCUCUGGCCUCCCUAGGGCAGCAGAGAGAGAGGGGGGCCCUGGGCUCCAUCCUGACCCUUGAGAGAGAUCAUAUUGGGCCUCUAAUGACCAGGCAGACUCACUCCGGUUGUGAGACCCUGGAUCAUCUCAGCCGCCCUCCUCUGCUCAGCUUCCAGCUUGUCAACAUCCUUCUUAAAUUGUGGUGCCCAGAACUGGACAGAGUAUCCCAGGUGUGGCAGCUUCAGGGCCAAGUAAGGAUUUGAACCCAGCUCUCUCCCAGGUCCUAGUCUUCAUUUAAUCCACACAUGCAGGAAUCUCAGCUAAAGCAGCCAUGGCAGGGGGCCCUCCAACCUCUGCUAAGAAACCUCCAUGGAAGGAGAGUCCACUGAGGGGAGGUUUGCUGUGCGAAGCCCUCCAGGCCUGACCCUGCUGGCUGCUGUGCAGGAGAACUGCCCUCCUGCCCUCAAGUCACCGGGGGGGGGCAUUCCUAAUCCUGAGCAUCACAGAGAUGAUGGCCAACAGCCCAGUGCUUCAAUUCCUUAGACUGGAGAUGGGGAACCUCUGUGGUCCUUCAGAGGUUGCUGGAUCCCAGCUCCCAUCUUCCUCCCUGGCCAUUGCCCCCCCCCCCCGGACCUGAAGGGAGCCUGAAGCCCCAAGAACUCUGGGCGGCCCCCCGCCCCCCAGCCCAAGAGCCCCUCUCCUGUUUCCUUGCUGUGUCGCAGAUGGCAAAGGGCUAAUCCAGGUCACUCUUUCCGCCCAAAAUGAGCAUCCUUCAGCUCCUUCAGCUCCCUGCCCUCUGGGGGCAUCUAAAUUGGGGGGGGGGCUUUUUACGCUGCAGCUCCUGCUGCUUCCUCUGCUGAUGGAUUUUGUGUGUUUCAGCCUCCGCUGCUCUGCUUUGUUUGGAUGUUGUCUUCUCACGGUUAAGCUGCUGUGGAUAUUUUUAAACGGAAAGGCUGGAUGGAGGUCUUUUAAGGCAGUGCCGGCUUCACAGCGCUGGCAGAGACGGAACGCAAAAGCCCUGAAUGCAACAGCAGGGGGGGGGGGAGGACCGUAAGGAGAUCCCUGAAGCUGGAUCUGGCCCAUCCAGUCCAGCAUGGGGGAGGGAGGGGUGUGUGGUGGGGGUGACAAAAUGCUGGGCUUCACUCACCGUGGGGCCUGCACAACACCCGAGCCCCACAUCUCUCCUGGGACAGACGUGGUGGCCUGGGCUGCCCAAAUGGUCCCCCUAUGGCCUCCCCCUCACCUGUAGGGCGGCUGAGUGGGAGGAGGCAGGCAGGCUCCGGAGGCCCAUGGAGCAUCCUGCCCUGGCUCGCCCUGCCCCCGUGGGAAGCUGCCCCCGCCUCUGGGCGCAGGGCAUGCGCACUUCCCCAGGCUCCCCAUCGGCUUGCUCCACCGCUUCACCAGAUUCCCCCCAUGGGAAGCCUGGAAGCCCGAGAGCCAGGGGUGUAGCAACGGGGGUGCGGCCCACACCGGGUGUCAUCCUGAAGGGGGGUGACAUUCGGCGUGGCCCACCCCACCCACAACUCCCCCUUCCCCCAGCUUGCUGUAGGCUUGAGAGUCAUGGGGGGGCACCGAAUGUCACCCCCCCUUCAGCAGCCAUGCCGAUUGGCCCCUUGGGUGGAUCGCCCCUGCCCCUGUGGGCAGAUCACCCCUCCCCCGGGUGCACAGCACGUGUGCCGCUCUGGGUGCUGGAGCCCCUAGCUCCGCCACAGCCAAGAGCUGCAGGCUCCACACUUGGGGAGUCCCGUCAGCCGCUAUUCACAGAUCAGGCUCUCCGCAAAAGGAGCAGAGCGUUAUGCAAGAGGGAGAAAACCUUUUCUCUCUCUCCUUUCUUCAUGCUGCCUCUUCCUCACCUUUCUGCUAAACUAAGAAGUCCCAAAGGCUGCAACCAUUCUUCCUAGGGGAGCUGCGCCUUGACAGGGCUGGAGUGUUAGGGGAUGGUCUGAAGACGAGGACUGGGGGACGCCUUCUGUGGCAGACCAGCUUGGGCCCCCCGCCCACAGUGUGUUCAGAAGCAGAGAGACAGAAGCUGAACAGCGGAGGGAGGAGUUGCCCAGUUACGAGAUAAUGACAAGGGAGCCGGAAGGGAGGGGGCAGCUAGUUGAGACGUCAUUUGAGAGUGGGGGGGGACCCCCCUUCACCACGGACUUGGAGGUCCAAAGGAUUCAGAGGGAGGGAGGAACUUCCCAUUGGCGCCUAAAAUGCCACAGAAGUAGGAAGGAAGGUUUAGAGUAGCCAACUGCCCUCCUUUUGGAGAGCUGCGCAUUUGUGCAUGCAGCAUGAUGCUGUAAUAAAAGGACUAUAAAUAUAUCAACUGCUCGUUAAUUCUUAUCUGUGAAGUUACCAAAGGGAGGGGAGGACUUUCCACGCCUAAGCUGGAUGCAGGUCAGCAAGAAAGGAAGCAAAUCUUUGAUGCCGUUGGGUGAAGUUGACUCUUUAUUCAAGGCCCCUCCCCUUCCGGAUGUUUCCCAAGCAGCCUCAAACUGCAUCUGCGCACCUUUUGCCUCUGUUCUGCUCUCCUCAUUAUCCUGCACGUUCUUGGAGACCAGAGGGGAUGGGAGCUUGUCGCAGACGGAGAAGGAGACCUCCCUGGAUUCUUCAGCAGUCUCUGCUUCAGCCUCGGAGUCUCAACCGCUCCCUGUCACAGACUCCUCCUGCUCACUAAGCCCUGUUGCCCCUUCGGCAUCCGGUCCCUCCUCCCAGUCUUCUCCUUCUGACCUUUCCUCAGUGUCCCACCACCAACCCCUGGCUCUGAGCCUUCCUCCUCUGGGGAUUCCCUCUGGGGGUUCCCCGGCUGGCUCCUCUUCCUUCAGCCUGCCCCUGACACCCCACUGCCCCUUUCUGGACCUUUCCCGGCUCUGCAAUAUCCUUUAGGAGGGGAGGCAACCAGAACUGGACACGGUUAUUCCAAAUGGAGUCACAUAAUAGGUCUCUCCAAGGGCAUUAGGACAAUCAGCAGUUUUAUUUUCAAUUCCCUCCCUAGCAUGGAACUGGGCUUUUCCGCAGAUGUUGCAAACGGAGCCCAUGAACUCUCUGCUAUGACCUGGAGGCCUUGCUCCCAGCCAGUCCAGACCCCCAAAUGCAUGCGUGUUAAAUCCAGAUUCUUCCUUCCUCUCUCUCUGGUGUGCAUGGCUUUCCGCUCCCUUGCGUUGAGUUGCAUUUGCCAUUUCCCUGCCCCUUCCCCCCUGGUGGGAAAUGCCUUUCUGGAGCUCCUUCCUUCCUCUUUUCUGCUUUCCUCAGCAAACUUGGCCACCUCACUGCUCAGCCCUCCGUCUCAUUAACAAACAAAUUAGGAAGCCUCAAUCCUGAUCCUCGGGAGACCCUGCUUGGCUCAGCAGCCCCGUCCAGGCUCCUUUGCGGGGACGAAAUCAGCACCAUCAGCAUCUGACCUGGAUUAGCUGCUUAUUAGCAAACUCUUCGUACCGCCUUGGGGUGCAGAUUCAGGCAAGGAGGGGGCUGGAGGGGAGGGGCUCAGAGGUCGCCCCAAGUGGUGUAAACAGAGAAAUCUGAGGGCUCCCUUGGACAAAAAACAAGGACCCCAGCCAGGAAUUACCAGAGCAAAACAGCAGCCAGUCGGCUUGGUCUUGAUUGAAGACUGUUGCGACAGGACUCCCACCUGCCACCAGGUGGAACAAGAUGGAAGCCCCAAACAAAAGAGAACCCAAAGUUUUAUUAGCUGCUAAUCCCCAUGUUACACCCCCCAAACUACAUCAUGGUUACAUCAUGGUUACAUGAUGAAAGGGGAGGUCUGGUGGCUGGAAUCUGAGCAUCCUGGACCCUGCCCCAUGGUUCCCCUUGCCCUCCACCAAACACCCAUCAAGUGUAACAAAUGAGACAUUCACAUUUCCCUGUUUCCCAGCCAAGUGAAUCCCACCCUUUUGUCUUCAUCUGGGUUUGUUAUUUCUGGAAUGGCUCCCUGUCUGGCACUCAGGUAUCAGGAGGCCAGGGAUUAUCCCUCAGACAGAGGGGCUGCUGAGCAGCUGAGCUCACAUGUCUAUAGGAAAUUCUGAAGUUUUCCCAGUGAGCCAGUACACAGGUACAUUUAUCAGUGAAUUCUUACAUUUGAUAUCGUGCAGCAGAGGCCCUUUGAAUGGAUAGGAAGAAACUGUGUUGAAGUGUGUUGUGGGGACAAAUCACAAAAGUCACAAAAAUGAUUGUGCUGUUUUUGGUAGUGGGCUGCAUGUGCAUGACAUCUGCUGGAGGGGCAACCCCCCCCACCUAUACAUAAAUUCCUGCAACAGUGUUUCUCUCCUGCUUCUGCCAUCUUAAUUUUUUCGCCAUCGCUGUCCUAAAUGCCUGAAUGGUCUUUUGAGGUUGUCAUCUGCUGAGCUGAGCUUUCCAUAAGGAAAGGCAGGACAGUUAUCCCACACAAACAUGCUUUUGCACCCAGUGCCAGUGCCUGGUGCUCGUGAGGCUCUCCAGGGGGAGGGAAAUGGCUGCCCCUGGGCGUGGGAAGCCGCUGCCCCCACCCCAAAGAGCAGGUGCCCCACGGAGUGGCAGGGAAGGGGCUGGGCUGGGGACACGGGUGGCCCUCCCUUAUCUUCCUGACUGCUUCCCCACUGGGCAACAGGCCUCUUUAUGUUCUGAUGGAACCUCCAGGUCCAGAGGCAGUCUAUCUGGGUUCCUGGGUUCUUUGGGUUACCUGGCCACUGGAAACAGGAUGCUGAGCUAGAUGGGCCCCCUUUGGCCGGAUCCAGCUUCUAAGCCGGGUGUUCCUAUGAAGCCUCCUGGCUGGUGUCUCUGGCUCUCAGAGGUUCCCAUCUGCUGCUUCCUUUUUUAAAAACCACUCUUCCAACUCGGUAUUUUGGGUCCCACUGGGCCAUUUAGGACCCCUACUUGUAGGUUCUCCUUCUGGCACAUCUUCAGAGCCUCCUGGCUUCCUCCCUACCUCCUUGAUCUUCUCCCGCUGCUUAUUGGGCCUCCAGCAUCUCCUCGGGAGCCGGAUCAAUAAAACAAAAAUAUAGCACACCAUUUACUUAUUUGUUCCUCUUGAGUUUUUACUCAGCACUUUUUUGGUCCCGUCUGAGGCACCUUGCCAAAGAGCUACUGGCAAGGCAGGAGGUGUUGGCCCAGGAAGCAGGGGGGGGGGGCUGGAAAAUGCGUCUUCUCCACUCCCACCCCAAAUAAAAAGCAGCUUAGCUACUUUAAAUCAAGCCUUCCCUUCUUCCCCACAAGGGACCAUUUCUGCAGGAAACUGCGAAUCAGAAACAUGUUAAUUUUAGCAUUACAGGGACCAUGGAAGAGACAGGGAGCUGCAGAAUCACAGAACAUUCGAGUUGGGAGAGAUCCAUCCCCCCCAAGAAACAUCUAGGCCAACCCCCUGCGGUGGGAGCGAUGGACAGAAGAGGGAGCCUCCAGCUCCAGAGGCAGUCUAUUUGAUUCUGUAAUAAAUGGAAAUCUGCCCUUAUUCCCUUAUGGGGGACACAAGAGCCCUUAUAGAGUCCUUUGCAGGUUCUCCAUCGGUCGGAGAAAAAUAACAGAGGCCAAGCAGAGAAUACUGAGAAGCAAAGCAGCUCGUAAGCCUGAUCUUUAUUGAUCUGUUGCAACAGAGUUCCUCACUCACCACACGCAGGAGGCAGGAGGAACCCAGAACCCAGGUGGGACCAUCCUUAUAUAGACAUUUUAAAUUGCCUGCCCUGGAGCUCAAGACCACCCCUUCAUACAUCAUACAUACAUCACAGAAGGGGUGUAACCCAAGACCACCCCCCCACAAACAUCAUACCUGCAUCAUAGAAAGGGCGGUCUACAACAGAAAUCUGAGUACGCUGUUUAUCUCCUGUCUGGCAGGUUACCUGUUAAUGGUCACUUGAUUGGAUUGCCUGGGGAGCCUGGCCAGUCUUUUGUAAUGAUAAAUUCUUAGUUCCUGAGCCAGGUCACAGGCUCACCCCCUAUUCAUAUCUUGAAUGUGCCCUUAAGACAGGAUUUGUGAGGAAAGAGACAAUGGGGAGGUUUCCCACUUUGACCUUGCAGAGAAAUAUUUGAGGUCAAUUUGUUCAGGACCUUUUCUGUGAGGUUUCAGACAUGUGGUUUAUAUAUAAAGAUAUGAACAUUUUUUUUAAUAUGACCUUAAAAUUCUUAUAACACAUGCACUGCUAGGAAGCCAGGUGCCCCCAUCCUAUAUUUGUGCAUCUGGUUCUUCCUGCCUAAGUGCAGAACCUGACAUUUGUCCCUAUGGAAAUUCAUUUUGUUAGCUUGGGUCCAGUGAAAGCAUUUUCUUUUGUUAAGUCAAUAGCCCCCCCCCCCCCGGUCUCUGAAGCAUCUCCUUUGCCAAUGUGAUCUUGGGGCAAGGAGGACCUCAAAAUCCAGAGUCUCUUCUGAAGGGGCUCCAUGCAGCAGAAGGGACUUAUUCUGCAAAGGGUGGGCACAGAGGGGGCAAGUCUUCCUUCCCCCUCCCUGGCUGGAGGUCAAGGAGGAAUCUGCAGGAGGAAGAGAGAGAAACAAGCUGUUGGUUUUUGGAAUCCAGCUGAGAGAGGAGGCUUAGGAAGCAGGCCGGCAUAAAAUUAGUUUCUCAGAACUAGAUGCUGCCUGGCCUUGAGAAAGCAGAGAGAGAGAAAGGUUUCCCUCCCUCUCAGCAGAACUCAGGGGCGAAAAGGAGGCUGAAUGCUGGGAGGUUCUCAGGACAGAUGGAAGAAAGUGUGCAGAGUUGAAAGAAAUAACAGAGGCCAACCAGAGAAUAUUGAGAAGCAAAGCAGCUAGUAAGCCGGAUCUUUAUUAAAGUUGUUGCAACAGGGUCCCCACUCCUCACAUGCAGGAGGGAGGAGGAACCUAGAACAAUGGUGUGCAAGCUCUUAUACAGACAUUUGAAAUUGCACUCCCCCCGUAGCUCAAGACCACCCCGCAAAACAUCAUACAUACAGCACUGAAGGGGCGGUCCACAGCAGAAAUCCUGUUUGCCAUGGUACCUGAUAAUGGUCACUGAUUGCUUUACCUGGGCAGCUUGGCCAUUCUUUUGUGAUGGUUAAUAGUUUAGUUCCUGAGUCCAGGUCACAGGCUCACCUUAUUCAUACACAAUAUCUGCUCUCCCUUCCCCACAGGUGGGCGGGGUUUGCGGCACUCAGCAGGGCUCACCUGGGCGGGUACCACCCACCUGAUUGGGCUGGCCUUUGACCCGCCCUUGGCCAGGGAGGACGAUGGAUGGCCGGCCGGGGGUGGGCCCAAGGCCAAAAGAAAAGAGGAUGACUCCGUUGCUCAAGCCUCUUUGCUGUUCUUCCUUCCAGGAUCAUCCACCCUCCCUCUCUCAAAUGAAUCAUUUCUUGCAUCCAUAAUUUCAUCCUAGGUCAGUGGUCUUCAAAUUAAUGAUUCUUUUCCUUACAGGCUAAUAUUUUGCAUUCCAGUUCAGCUAGUGCUGCUGCGGUCGUAAGAUGGUUACUGUAUUCAGAACCAGGAAGGAAUUUCCCCUGCAUUGGAAGGUUUCGCCUUCCCCGUAGCAUUUCGUCACAACUUUGGCAGUUUUAGGCCUUGGCAAGGUAUCCUGUUCAUACACAGAUACCCCUUGAGACAGGAUUUGUAAGCAAAAAGACAAAGGCUUUCCCCAUUUGCCUCCCUCCUUGCAGAGAAAUAUAUUGAGGUCCAUUUGGGAGAGUCAAAACGGCUUCAGGAUUGCUCUCCUGUACUAUUCCAGACACGUGGUUUAUAUACUUGUGUGUUUGCCUUGUACAUUUAUGAAUGUUAUUUUAUAUUUGGGACCUUCGAAUUCUUAUAACAGCAGGAUGGCUGGAGGCAGAGAUGCUUCUGAGCUGCAGUUCCUGGAAGCCACCAGAGGGGAAAGUGUUGCUCUGGUGCUUGGAUCCUGGCUGCGGGUUUCCCUUUGAGGCCCCUGCUUGGCCACUGUGGGAACAGGAGUUUGGCGCAGGUGGGCUGCAGGCUCUUCUGAUAUCCUUGUGAAUCACGUGGAGCUGGUGGGAGCAGGAUUUGACUGAGUUUUCGCGCCACGUUUUGCUCUGCAUGUGCCAACAUACAAUGUGCCACAAAAAUGCCUCCCUGCUCCCGUGACCAUUCUCAAGGGAGCUGAUACUUGGGGGAUAUCAAGGCUCCAACCUUGACAAAUCAUUUCUGCAAGGAGGAAAAACCGUCCCUCCCUUCUGGGCUGGUGAAAGCCCCUCCCUGCGCCUGCCCCCUUGUCCUGCCCCCCCAGUCCCAGCACUGCCCCCCAGGGCUGCUCAGAAAGGGUGGGAGGAGGCAGGUAAGACCCUGGCCCAGCCGAGAUCAGGUGCUGCUUCAAAUGCAAAUGAGCCUGCAAUUAAAAUAUGCUUUCCGUCCGGCCCUCGAAUCUGUAAUAACCUGUCAGAGCUCAAAAUGAAAUCUUGGACACUUUUGAUACAAAGCAACAUUUCAUUAUUUCACUAAAGGGGUUUUAAUUUCUCCCUAUAAUUGCUCUGCUGAUGCAGCGGAGAAUGCAGGCCCGCAUUUUAAUUCCAACCCCCUCUCUUUGGGUAACCUGAGUUGAUGGGAAAUUGCUUUCAUUUAAUUUAAUUACAGGGCCGGAAUAAUACAUUAAAUAUGUACUGGCUUGGUGUUUGUGCCUACGUUCGAGGCCUGGAAUUAAUGAGCUCUUAACUUUGAGAAAUAUCAGCGGCACAAACACUCCAGCCCGCCUGCCUUGGCUGCAGGGCUGACCACUUGCUCCUGUCCCUCGGGGGGAAAGUGCCUCUCUCAGACUCUCUCGGGACUCAGAACUGCCGUGGCUGCUGGGUCAGCCUUGGAGAGCCCUUCUGGUCCAGCCUCCUGGUCUCACACUGGCCAAAUGCCCCCUUGGACCUCGAAAUCCAGGUAGACUGCUCCUGGACCUGGAGGACGGUUGCCGCCUUUGUUCUGGCAAAAGACAGGAAUACAGGGCAGGGCGGGGCGAGGCAGUUGGGAGGUCAAUUUUUUCUCUCCAUCUGGUGCGGAAGUGACUUCAAAGCAAUCCACUGCAAUCUAUUGCAGCCUCACAGGACGGCCCCUCUGGAAUUUGUCACACACAGACACACACACGCAAAUUUGCAAAUCUGUCUGUGCUGCGCUACCCAGAACUUAAAUGCAUGACGUUACGAAAAUUACAGGGCGGGGGGGGGGCACAUCUUUAAAGUUGUUAAGUGUUACAAAUAUUAUGCGUAAAUGUAUCCUUUCGACUUGACAGCUCAGGGAAGAUACCUAGCUUUAAAAAUCAUAUAAAAUCAACUCCUAUGCCAGUUUCCUUCAUUCCACCGCCAAUUUGCUUCAUUGGCCAAGGACCUGGAAGCCACUUGGUCCGCGCCAUAAUCCCUCAAGCAGGAGGUUAUGUACUCACAGGAAGGUACUUAUAGGUGUCAAUCGCUGGGCAAAGGCACUCCUCCGGACUUGCCCAGGUGGCAGACUAGGCAAAUCAAAGUUCUAUAGUCCCUUUGUAGUAGGUGCUUAGAAUGUACUUCCCAAUACAUAUCUAUAUCCGCCUGUUGCCCCAACACAUUCCUCCUGUGUUAAUCAUGUAUAUCCCUCCCCUUUUCUGAUGUAGCAAUGAUGUAGUGAUGAUGCUUAAUGAACUGUAUGUUGGGAUAAGAUAGAAACUUUUAAAAGUCCUUGUCACCCCAUCCUCAGGGCUCAAAAUUCCUCUUUGAGCCUGUUGCGCAAUAAACUUUGGUCUACAGCUAUUUGCUCUGGUUGGCUGGACUCCUUCCUUUAUUCCGCAGGGACUCGCGGGCUCUGCCCAAGGAGCUGGGGGACUGAGCAGCCUCACACAUAGAUUUUUCCAUAACAAUGAAUUUCCACAUAUGCUUUCAAACACAUGCAUUUGGAAAUGAUCCCUAUCUUAGCAGAGAGAGAGAGGGGGGGGGGGAACCUGAAAUACAGGACAAAACUGUAUCAAUACAGGAUGUAGGAUUUCACAUUGAAGUACAGGACAAUCCUGUGUUUUGCAGGACAAGGGGCUGGUCUAAUCCCGGAGGCUGCUUAAGAACACAAGAAGAAUCUGGUUUUUGGAGCAUCCUGUUCCCCCUGGGGUCAACCAAUGCCCCUUGUGGGAAACCACCAGCCAAGCCAAGCCCAGGAGCCCUUGGGAGGUGGACCAGCUCAGAGCCGCGCUGCUCGCUGCAGAGAUGGCCUUGCUUUGUAAAUAGCUCAUUACCAUCCCUGCAAAGCUUUGCUCGUGCGGCAGUUGCCCCCUCCCUCCUCCAUCGCACAAGCCUGACCCACUUAAUGGCAUCGCUUUGCGGCAAUCGACAACUGGGCCUCUCCUCCUUGCAAUGAGGAACCUCUCUCUCUCUCUCUCACACACACACCGCCAGCCCUUGAUGUGUGGGGGGGGAGCCCACCCUCCACCGAACCAGGGCCGGGGGUCCAGAAUCGAUGCUCAAAGGAGCUGGGCAGGUUUAGCCCGGAGGAGACUUGAGACGUGAUAGCCAUCUUCAAACAUCUCAAGAGCUGUCACGUGGAAGAGGGAACAGACUGGGUUUCUCCUGCUCCAGAGGGUAGGACUCGAACCCAUGGCUCCAAGUGACAAGACAGAAGAUUCCAGCUGAACAUUCGGAAGAACUUUCUGAGGGCAGGAGCUGUUUGAAAGUGGGUCUGAAGGUGGCACUCUCCCCUUCCUUGGAGGUUUCUAAGCAGAGGUGGGAUAGCCAUCUCUCAUGGAGGCUUUAGCUGAGAUUCCUGGUUCCCCUCCCCCUGUUGCAGGGGUCAGACUAGAUGACCCUUGGGUCCCUUACAGCUCAACAGUUCUAUGAUACUAAGGGGAGACAGAUGGCCAGUUGGGGACUUGCUGGGGGAGUAAGAGAGUGUGUGUCUUUCACCUGAGCAAGACUGAAAAGGCUGGUGGGAGACCUUUUGCUAGAGCUGCCUUCUGUGUGGCCCUGCCAGCUGCCAAGUGGUCCAAGUGGCUGGGAUGGCUACUGAAAUAUACUCAGAGUCGAGAGUGGAUUUCAUGCUCUUUAUUCAGCUCAUAGUGGUGAGGAGGAAUGGAAGUUCCCCCAGAAUGUCUGCUUUAUAUACAUUAUUUACACAAUGGGCCCCACGUGAUUGGCUAAUUCCGGGAUUCUCCUGUAGGCCAAUCAGGUUGUGGAUUCACUUCUACCUGGAGCUGGAUUGGGUGGCUCCUGUGGACCAAUCAGACUGCUGCAUUCUGGACCCUAUUGUUCUAGGACCAAUCAGACUGCUGCCUUUUGGAUCCUAUUCAACUCAGUACAUAACAAUCAUCAUUUUGUUGGAAGAUUCAGGGCAGAGGAAAGAAAGUCCUUCUUCUUGCAGCAGAGUCAAAGGAUGUUGGCAGGAGUGGCCUGGACAACCUGGUUAAAACAAAAGGGGGGGUAGUUGUGAUAACUUGAAAAUCCGAAGUCCCCAUGAAUUGGGGAAAAUGACCGGGAAAAUCAGAGAUCAAGAGGACAACAAAUUCUAUAAAGAAUGGGAAAAUUUUAUAAGUUACUUGAAAGAGCACUGUAUAAACCAGGCAUGUCCAAAGUCUGUUUUGAGGGUUUAAUCCGGCCCCCGUGGCAGUUUAUUUCCUGGGGUAAAAUCCUAAAAAAGCUCAACAACUUCAAUCCUUUAAAAAGGUUAACCUUUGGCUGGACCUCAGGGCCCUUCACUUCUUCAAAUCUUUGAAAAAAGCUUGGGCACCACUGGUUGAAAACAUUGGCAGGAUUUUAAAAACACUUGCGAUGAAGCGAAAACUAUGAUAAAAAUUGAGUUUUAAGAAAAUAUGGAGAAUACGAUACGAUGCAGUUUGGAAAGAAUAUCUGGGGAAACCACGGGUGCAUGGAGGGACGUUCGGGGAUUCUAAGAAUCCUAUUUGUAAAAUGAUUGUGAUUUAUGUAUGAUGAGAAAUGUUAAAAGUGAAAAUGAAUUAAAAUAUAUACAUUUUUAAAAAUCCGAAGUCCCCAUCACAGCCUCAAACUAAAACCAGGAUGAUGAGCCUGACCGUUCCCUAAAACAUACCAAACCUUCAAAAAUUGACAAAAAAUCAACGGUUUGUCCGAUUCUCUCCAUUCAAAUGGCAUAUUACUCCUAAAGGGGGGUGGGGGUGGAUCGAGGCUCCUUCCUUCCUCCAUAACCCCCCUAAGGUCUCCUCACUCCUCCACAAGGUGUGAAAACAAGCCCCAAGGGGGGGGGCAGGAGGUUUUCAGGAGCAACAGUAUUCCAGACAGAAAUCCAUUGGUGAAUGGACUGGAUCCUUUCAAAGUGCGCAAACAGGAAAGGCUGGAACCCAGAGAAAUGUGUAAAUAACAACAACAACAACAACAAAUUAUCGUUAUUGUUAUUGUUACUGUUAUUUCUACCCCACCCAUCUGGCUGGGUUUCCCCAGCCACUCUGGGCAGCUUUCAACAGAACAUUAAAAACAGAAUAAAACUUCAAACAUUAAAAACUUCCCUAAACAGGGCUGCCUUCAGAUGACUUCUAAAAGUCAGAUAGUUGUUUAUUUCCUUGACAUCUGACAGGAGGGCGUUCCACCGUUCCACAGGUCGGGUGCCACUAAUAAUGUUCUUGUUCUUUAACUGGGGGACAGUUCCAUGUUUCUCCAUGAGAGCCACUCCUCUUCUGUGACAUAUCUGUGAUGCACGGGUGAUGCUACUGGAAAUGUAUUAUGGAGAAAGGGGGGGGGGGGAGUCUUAAAAGAUCAUGCAACCCCCUGCUCGGAGUUCUUCCUCCUUGGUGUUUGCAACAAAGAUCAGGUCUCCUGGCUGGAGACUCCUUCUUUUUCUGACCGGAGGGACUCGAGGGGAGUGGCACCGUGGGAAACAGUAAUGCUGUCACUCUCCUCCCCAUCCACUGGGAUCUUCGCAUGAAGGGCUGUGUACAAAUUUAAUAAGUAACAGUGAACCUCAAGCUGACACUAGACAGGAAAGGAACCUGAAGACGUCGUAAAACGUCUUUUAAAUACAAUUAAGUGUUUCAGCAUGUUGUUGUUUAGUCGUUUAGUCGUGUCCGCCUCUUUGUGACCCCCUGGACCAGAGCACGCCAGGCACUCCUGUCUUCCACUGCCUCCCGCAGUUUGGUGUGUUUCAGCAUAGAAUCAUAUUAAACUCACUUAUACUCUUCAGCAGAGACCAGGACCCUAUGCUAGACAUACUCAAGAGUAGACCCAUUGAAAUUAGUAAAGGUAAAGGUAUCCCUGACCGUUAGGUCCAGUCGCAGACGACUCUGGGGUUGCAGCGCUCAUCUCACUCUAUAGGCCAAGGGAGCCGGCGUUUGUCUGCAGACAGUUUCCGGGUCAUGUGGCCAGCAUGACGAAGCCGCUUCUGGCGAACCAGAGCAGCUCACGGAAACGCCAUUUACCUUCCGGCCGGAGCGGUACCUAUUGAUCUACUUGCACUUUGCCGUGCUUUCGAACUGCUAGGUUGGCAGGAGCAGGGACCGAGCAACGGGAGCUCACUCCAUCGCGGGGAUUUGAACCGCCGACCUUCUGAUCGGCAAGCCCAAGAGGCUCAGUGGUUUAGAUCACAGCGCCACCUGCAUCCCCACUGAAAUGACUAAUUUACAUCCCUUAAUUCCAAUGGGUCUGAGUAGAAUUUAGCCCUAGACAGACCCAAAUCAGAGACUCCUUGAUGCCCAGCUUCCUCCGAAGACAGAUGCAAGCAAACCUUAAAAUAAGAACACCAUGAGCCCAGCCUGGCCGGGGGGGGGGGGGCAAUGUCACCUCCCAUGGGAGAGAGUUCUGUUGUUUGGGGGUCAUGACCAGUGGCGGAGGAAGUGGGGGCAGUGGGGGCAGAGCGCCCCGGGUGCCAUUUUUGAGGGGGUGACAAGAAGGCACCCCGUGGGGGGGCUUGCCCUGCCACCAUCACACCACCCCAGCCUCGUGUGGAGGAUCCUCCACGGCUGAUCAUGACGCAGAAAGGCCUGUCCUACCCCUAGUGUGGAAAAUACUUUGGUUGCAGGGGUUGGACUAGAUGACCCUUGGCCCCCUCUCCAACUCCCCAUUUCCAUGAUUCUUUAGCUGUGAUUUCAGCCUUGCAGGGUGUUGGACUAGGUGACUCUUGGGCAGGUCCCUGCCUCAGGCGGCAGAAUCCAUGGGGCACUGCCAUGGACCUCCGGGCUCCAGCGAGAUCUCGUGGCAGCCUUGGAAAACCCCAUGAGAUCUCACAAGGCUCUCGUGAGCUCUGGCUGGAUCCUGGAAGCAGCUGCUGCCGCUGCCCCCUCCCCCCAGCAAGCGAGGUUUCAGCGGCGGCUCAGGGCAGCACCGUCCUGUCUUGCCUCAGGCGGUGAAAUGAGACGGGCCGGCCCUGCCCUUGGGGCCGCUUCCAACUGUACAUUUCUAUGAUUCUGCGGGGCAGGCAGGGAGCUGGAGAGGUUUCUCGCUAGCAGAGUUUUCUAGCCGAGGAAAAUGUGCCAGGCUGGAGCCUGGAGCGACUUCUUCACAGGCAACUUGCAAAGUGCCCGGGAGGGUUAUUGCAGUGGAACUGCUGAGGCAUCACUCGUGCGCAGUGGGGGGCCGGAUCCACGCUGCUGAGGCCAUAUAUCAAGUGUCAGGGCGAGAGAGCGGCUUCCUCUGCUAAGGGGAGCUGAUAAGCAGAGUCACCUUGCCAGAGAUGACCUUCCUUAUUCUCCUGCCACACCGACUGCCGGGUGAGAUCAGAGCGCUGGCAUCCUCAGCCGCUACAGGAAUCUAUGGUGCAGCUGCGUUCAGAAGAAUAUCAUGUGCGGUUCUGGUUGCCUUACCUCAUGAGGGAUAUUGCAGGGCUGGGAAAGGUUUGGGGCGUUACCAGAAUUUAUGUAAAGGUUGGGAGGGGGCAGGGAUGUGGGUGGCACUGUGGGUUAAACCACAGAGUCUAGGACUUGCCGAUCAGAAGGUCAGUGGUUUGAAUCCCCGUGACGGGGUGAGCUCCCGUUGCUCAGUCCCAGCUCCUGCCAAUCUAGCAGUUCGAAAGCACACCAGCACAUCUUAUUAAUAUAAGAUUUAGAACGUAGAAUGGCUUGGUAGUGUUUUGUGUGCUGCUUACUUCUUACUGGUCUGUUCCACAGACAAUAGCAGACCCUCCAGGAAUGGAUUAGGUCCUCCGUCAGGACAAAGGAGUGUGGUUACCUUGACCAGGAAAAACAGGGACUUGUAGAUGUUUCUUCUGCAUCACUUGAUGGGUGUCUGGGGGUGGGCAAGGGAGAGUUGGGGGCAAACCUGCCUGAAAACCCCUCCCUCUUUGUGACCUAUGUGUGAUGUGUCUGUGAUGUACGCAUGAUGCUUCACCAAAGGUGUUCACAAUGGACCGCAGGCCAGAUCCAGGGGGCUACUCUUAAGAAAGACCCAAGUGUCUGCCCAGAAGGACUCUUGGAUGUGGGGAAAUCGAGGGGCCCUUUGCUCCAGGGUGGCGCCCCACUAGAAGCCACAAGGCAGAGCCCAGCUCUUUAAUCAAAGCCACACCUUUUUAUUUACACUCUUCCAGGUGCAAAGAGCCCCCCCAAGUCCAGGCUCAGGGCAGCUCAAGUAGGGAGGAGAGGGGCAGGGGGUCAGUUCGUGAGGCUGAGGGAAAGGCGCCAGGGGGAGGAAGAAGGCAACCCCCAUGCCAGGCUCACCCGACCUUGAGAGGCCCCCGCCAGGGCCGCAGUUCUCAGGGGGGCGCCUGGUGCUGCUUCCGGUGGUGCAGGAUCUCGGUGGGUGUGAGGAGGAGGCUGGCAGAACCUGAGGAACCGGUUUCUGCCAGAGACCUCCCUCCUUUGUGACAUAUGUAUGAUGUAUCUAUGAUGUCUGCAUGAUGAUUCACCAGAGGUGUUUAUGGGGAAAAGGGGAAACUUAUAAAAGAGGGAGCAUCCCUUUGUUCUGGGCUUCUUCCUGCUUCUCCCAUGGGGUGGGUGGAAUUCCUAUUGCAAAAAGUAGCCAGUGGCUGCAAAUUACAGCAGGGGAGAGUUGCUCCUGUGCUCAGAUCCUGAUAAUGGUCAUCUGGUCGGCCACUCUGAGAAAAGGAUGAGGGGCUAGAUGGGCUGUUGGCCUGAUUCUGCAGCUUCUGCUUAGGUGCUAAGGAGGCCUGCCCAUUUCCCUGCUCCAGUCAUCUACAUUUGGCAUUGGAGGAGGAAGGAAGGAAGGAAGGAAGGAAGGAAGGAAGGAGAGAGGGUCAUAUCAAGGUGACCUGGUUCCAACAUAUUUAUGAAGCAGGGUUGAAGCAAUGAUUCUUCAACAUCAACUUUGUUGGACUGGUCUUGUUGUUUGGGUGCCUGAUUAUCGUCUUCCAAAGCAACUCCUCUAUUCCGAACUUAAAAAUGGAAAGUGUAAUGCUGGUGAUCAAGGAAAGAGGUUUAAAGACUGUCUCAAGGCAAAUCUUUAAAAAUGUAGUACAAACACCAACAAUUGGGAAACACUGGCCUGCGAGUGCUCCAGUUGGAGAACAGCCUUUCCCAAAGGUGUCGUGGGCUUUGAAGACACUUGAACUCAGGACGCAAGGGAGAAACGUGCGAAGAGGAAGCCACGCUUGGCAAAUCCACACCAUGAUCAACUCCCACCUGGAAACCAAUGUCCCCACUGUGGAAGGACGUGUGGAUCCAGAAUUGGCCUCCACAGUCACUUACGGACUCAUUGUUAAAACCAUGUUCAUGGAAGACCAUCUUACUCGGCUACAAGUGAUGCUACGAGUGAUCGCCGGAGAAAAAACAGCAGAAGCAGACUCCCAGGCAGCCUUGGCAGCCUUCAACCCAGCUGCUUUUCCUCCUCCUCCUCCUCCUCCUCCUCCUCCUCCUGGUGCUGGGAAAAUGCCUGUCCUUGGCCCAUUCCUCUGGGCAGGUGGCCAGGAUCCAUCUCCAGGCAGCAGCAGGAGUUCUUAGAAGCUCCUAAAGCAGCCUGGCCGGGGGUGGGGGUGGUGAUCUUGCUUUGCCCUCCUGUUUGACUGCUGGCUCCUAAUCCACGCCUCCCCCCCCAUGUGAGGCUGUGGCUGCCACCCCCUUGCAGGGCCAGCGCAGAUGCCAGGCCUGGGUCUGUGCCCUGCUGGUGAGGCCAGGCCCCCCAAUGCCAGCCAAGCCACAACCCGAGGCUUGGCGGACGGAUGUGCCUCCCCCCCAGGGUGGCACAGGGCUUGGCAGCCGGGGGUCUGCCCUCUGGGCGGCAUCCAGACUCCCUCGCUUGCCAGCUCCGCAUGGCUCCUCUCUCACCACCCAAGUCUUGCCAAUUGCAAGAACAGCCAGAGAGCCUUUGUUUCCUUCCGGGCGAUAAUAAUGAUCAAUUUGGAGCCUUUUGGGUUGGUCUUGCAAUGAAGCCUUUCAAGCCCCACCAGCAUCUCAGCAGGCAGCCUCUGCGGGGGUCCCUCCUUGCCCCCCCACACCACUGCCCCCCUCCUGCUUUUCACAAGCAUGUCCUAACCCCUCAUCUUUGCGGAGAAGGGGGGGAAUCAUCCUUCAAAGCCUGUUUGCUUUCCGGCACAAGGCAUCCUGCUGCUGUUGUUAUAGAAACUGCAGAAAUCUGCCUCUGAUAUUGCCAGACCUUUGCUUCACUUGGCUCAGCGCUGCCUGCACUGGCUGGCAGCAGCGACUGUCCAGGAUUUCAGGCAGGAGUCUCUCCCAACUGUACCUGAAGGAGACGCCAUCAGGGAUUGAUCCUGCAACCUUCUGCUUGCAAGGCAGAUCCUCCGCCACUGAGCCACAGCCCUUCCCAUUGAUUUGUUGCUUCCUACAAAGAAUUCAUCUUGAAGCAACUGCCCUUUCCCCUCGCAGGGGCACCCUGGAAGUCUGAAGCCCAGCAGCAGCACACCAGCUCUGCAGGCAGGGAGCCUGCAGGUCACCCUGUGAGCAAGUGUUAGAGGAAUUCUAAGGUCUCAUAUAUAUAAAUCAUAUGUUCAUAAAUGUACAAGGCAAACACAUACGUAAGUAUAUCAACCACGUGUCUGGAAUAGUACAGGAGAGCAAUCCUGAAACCAUUUUGACUCCCAAAUGGACCUCAAAUGUUUCUCUGCAAGGAGGAAGGAAAUGGGAAAAGCCUCCCUCUUGUCUCUGUGCUCACGGGUGUAAGUAGAUAAAUAGGGACCGUUUACUAGCGGGAAGGUAAACGGCGUUCCGUCUGCUGCGCUGGCUCGCCAGAUGCAGCUUGUCACGCUGGGCACGUGACCCGGACGUGUCUUCGGACAGCGCUGGCUCCUGGCCUCUAGAGUGAGAUGAGCGCACAACCCUAGAGUCUGGCAAGACUGGCCCGUACGGGCAGGGGUACCUUUACCUUUUCCUUGAGCUACAGGGUGGGCAAUUUCAAAAGUCAAUAUAAGAGCUUGCACACCAUUGCACUGGGUCCCUCCUCCCUCCUGCGUGUGGCAGUGAGGACCCUGUUGCAAUAGUUUAAUAAAGAUCAGGCUUACAAGCUGCUUUGCUUCUCAAUAUUCUCUGGUUGGCCUGUUAUUUCCUCCUACCCAUGGGGAACCCACUUAAGGACUCUAUAUGGGCUCUUGGGUACCCCAUAAGGAGCAGAUUUUGUUUACAUCGAUAUGGCGAGCACCCCUUUCCCCUCGCAGGGGCACCCUGGAAGUCUGAAGGUCAGCGGCAGGGCCCCAGCUCCGCAGGCAGGAAUCCUGCAGGUCACCCCGUGAGCAAGGAAGGACGGAAGCAUAUCCCUUGAGCCUCUGGUCUGAAUCUGCUGCUGCUGAAGGCCAGGUCAGUCCCUAACAAGGCCAGACUUACUCAGGACUUGGCCCUGACCUGCCCCUUCACUCAGCGAGCAGCUCAUAAGGGAGCUGUCUGGGAAAAUUCAAGUCACGUAAAAAAACGAGGAGAGGAGAGGAGAAAUAUGGCCAGGGAGCUCUCACUCCAUCCCCUCAGUCUUGGUUCUGAGAAUAUCCUGAAACAGCCCUUUUGUCUUCUGAGGUUUGCUAAGGAAAUCUGGCCCCUGGGAGAUUUGUUCUGACCCCCCAGGACAUCCAAAAUGAUCAACGGGAUGGAGGAACUCUCCUACGAAGUAAGGCUUUCCUCCCUCUCUCAUGACACUAGAACUUGGGACGUCCAAUGAAGCUGACUGCUGGAGGAUUCAGGUCAGAGAAAAGAAAGUCCUUCUUCAAGCAGCGCAGAGUUGAACUACGGAACUCCCUGCCACAAGAGGCAGCAAUGGCCACCAGCCUAGGACUCAGCUGCACUGGCAAAGACAAAUCACUUUAUAUGCGUUGUUUAUGCAUUCUGGCACUGUGACACCAGAUGGCGCUGUGGAGUUCUGUUUUUGCUCACCUGAUUUCUCACAAAAAUUUUGCAACACGAUUAACUGAAAUGUUUAUUUGAUGUAUCUAGAUCCAGCGCUAAAUGGAUUUAAAAGAGGAUUGGAGGAGGAGAGGGCUGCCAAAGGCUCAGUUGCCAUCCUCAGUUGGAGGCAGCAGUGCUUCUGAAUCCCAGAUUUUGGAAACCCCAGGAGGGGAGAGUGUUGUUCCUGUGCUCAGAUGCUUCUUUCUGGCUUCUUCCCACAGGCACUGCGAGAACAGGAGGCUGCACUAGAUGGCUCCUGAAGGUGGCAGUUGUGAGGCACAAUCCUGCUUGCCCAGGCAGGUGGCCUUGCAUUGGCUCAGGCCGGCAGCAGCGACUCCCCUUCCAGGCUCCCUGGCUUUGCGAGAUCCAGCACCUGAAGGGAUAGCAGCAGGGGGAAUGAACCCGGCUCCUUCUGCAUGCCCAGCAGGUGCCCCGCCACAGAGCCAGGGCAGCUCCCAGCAGAGCUCUCUGGCCCCACAGUGGCCCCCAUCCUGGGGGAGAGAGGCUGCUCCCCUGCGUGGCUGACUGCAGUGUGCCGGCCUGCCGUUCGUGCCAGCUCCAUCACCUUUGCGCCCGAGAGGGACCCGCGCGGCAGAGCCAUACAUUAUUGCUUAAUUACUUGGAAAGCAACUCUAGACACUUUCUAUUAAGCCGCAGCGUGCAAUUUGCCCAAAGGCAACACGAGACAAGACACUUCCUUUUUCCAAUUAAGUCCAGCCUCGAUUUCCCAAAGCAAAGCUGGCAAUCUCCGUAAUUGGGAGUCCUGCCACGCUGCCCUGGCAGGGAGGGGGGAGCAGAGGGGCAGGAGGUGGGUGGGCUCCCACGUCGCCCUGCUUCUGCCCACGGGGGUGCCACUCGUCGGGGGAGGGGUCUGCCUGGAGGUGCCCACCCUGCCCUCGCCAUCGACCAAUAAGGGCGCCUGCCCGUGGGAGGGGAUCAAUUGUGCCAGGCGGACACUGCGGCCAUCGUGUCAUUCUUCUAAUCAAAAGAGGACAUGGUGGCAAAUGCUUUUUGCCCCCUCCAAAACGCCAGGCUUUGCAAAUCAACAGUUCCAACUAAUUAACAGCCGCGUUCAGUUUGUUUCUGAGAAAUGACAUGUGGCUUUUUCUGAGCAGCGGCUGGAAAGGAAGCUGGUUCCUGGAGAAGGUCAUCUGGGGGGGGGGGCUGUAAAUCACAGGAUCUGGGGGGCUGGGGUCACAGGGGCUGCAUGAGGUCUGGAACUCAGCCGGAGCCUGGAGUCGCUGGCCUGCCGCAAGCGAGGCUCACGCCAUCAGCCACUCACCUUCCAAAGAGCGCAAGAAAUUAUGCUUAUACUUUCCGUUCCAGCUCAGAAUGCUUUUCUUUGGAGGGAAAAAACACCUUAAAAUAUCAACAAUAGUAGAAUCAAGUAACUGUCAAGUUGGUGGGGAUCCAUCCAGUCGAAGGCAGGAAUCUCUUAAGGUGAUUUUAAAAAAGCAAACUGGUUAGUUAGUUGGAACUGCUGGUUUGGAAAGUCUGUGUCCAGUUCUGGGCACCUCGGUUCAAGGAGGAGACUGAGAAGCUGGCAGGUGUACAGAGAAGGGCGACCAAGAUGGUGAAGGGCCUGCAAACCCAGCCUUAUUUAUGAGGUUAAGGGCGUUGGGCAUGUUUUGUCUGGAGAAGAGAGACACCAGUGAUGGAUUUUUUCAAGGAGUUGGAGAUGGCGUUUAUAAGUGGUCCAUGUUUCACAAGCAUACAGUAAGGUUGGUAGUGCAAUAGCUUCGUAAACAAGCAUUUUGGUUUCCCUGCAAAUGUCCUGGUCCUCAAACACUCGGCACUUCAGUUGGGAGAAAGGCUCACUCGCAGAGCUCAGAUGAUGCUGGAUAUCAGCAUCAAUGUUGGCCCUUGUGGAAAGACAGCUGCCCAGGUAGGAGAAGCGAUCGACAUUUUCCAAGGUUACACCACUGAGUUGGAUUUGUGGCGCUGCAGAGGGGAUAUUUUGUACUUGUUGGUGCAGCACUUUGGUUUUGGGGAUGUUGAGCGACAGGCCGAGCUUUUCAUAAGCUUCUGUGAAGAUAUUUAGGAUGGUUUGGAGGUCAUCCUCUGAGCGUGCGCACACUACGUUGUCACCAGCAUACUGAAGCUCUAUGACGGAAGUUAUGGUAACCUUACUCUUUGCUGUCAGCCUGCUCAGACUGAAGAGCUUUCCAUCUGUUUGGUAUACGAUUUCUACCCCGGUGGGGAGACUCUCCUUUGUUCAACAGAGGAUGGGGGGCCACCCACCAGGGAUUAUUUGGCUGUGAUUCCUGCAUUGCACAGGGUCCCUUCCCUCUCCACAAUCUGAUGACCGUCACCAGGAGACCUUCUUCUGCCAGCCCCCGACCCCAACAAGCCCCCGCUUGUUAUCCACCGAGUGAUCUCUGAGAUGGAUGGGUACCUGCAUGUCUGGGAGCGAUCAAUUGAAGAGCGGGCAGAGGGAGGAGGAAGGUAGCUGCUCCGGAGGUCUGCAGCUCCAGUCAGGGCAGAUUAAGUGAAAAUGGAUCUUUUCAUUAGCUGACUGACACCCUGGCAGCUGGCCUGGCCAGAGAUUGAUUUUCCUUUCCACAGGGGAGAAGCAGGAGAGCAAGGUAGGUCACCCGUGACCAAGGGGCUGCCUGGGGACCAACAGGGGCAACAGGGGGGCAGGCAGAUCUCCCUCCAAGGCUCGGGGGCCAAGUCAAAUGGCCUGGCAUGAGAGUCACCCCUGCUGCCACUCGCUGUCAUUUAAGAAGCGUGACGGCGCAAGGCUCCCCUCUGAAGAAAGUUGCAGCAUUUGAGAAUUGAGGCGAAAGGCGAGGAAGAGGCGACAUGAUGGACGUUUAUAACAGGAGAAAGUCGAUGGAGAAAUGUUUUCCCCCUCUCUCUCCCAUAACGCUAGAACUCGUGGAUAUACGAUGGUGCUGAAGGUUGGAAGAUUUAGGACAAAUAAUAGCAAUGAUGGGGUGAUGAUGAUGGGCAGCAUACAAAUAAUAAUAAUAAUAAUAAUAAUAAUAAUAAUAAUAAUAAUUGUAAAUCCAAAAUUGUAUAUCCAAAGUUCAAAGGGCAUCCGUAAUAAAACAAAAGCAAAACCUGGCAUAGCUCAGUCAGUAGAGUGUAAGAUUUCAUUCUGGGAUCAUGAGUUCGAGUCUCACGUUGGGCAAAACAUUUCUGCUUUACAUGGGGUUGGACUUUUGGAGCAGAGAUCUUCUCUUGCUUUCCUAAGAACUAUGGCAGGUUGAAACAAAGGACCACACCAGCGUGGUGUAGUGGUUAAGAGCGCUAGUCUCGUAAUCUGGAGAACCGGGUUCGCGUCUCCGCUCCUCCACCUGCAGCUGCUGGGUGACCUUGGGCCAGUCACACUUCUCUGAAGUCUCUCAGCCCCACUCACCUCACAGAGUGUUUGUUGUGGGGGAGGAAGGGAAAGGAGAAUGUUAGCUGCUUUGAGACUCCUGAAGGGGAGUGAAAGGCGGGAUAUCAAAUCCAAACUCUUCUUCUUCUUCAGAAGGUGGCGGCCCCUCCUUCGCUGGAGGUUUUUAAGCAGAAGUUGGCUGUCUGUCAUAGAUUUCUCAGCUCUGAUUCCUGAAUUGCAGUGCUUUGAGCUGGAUGACCCUCAGGGAUCCCUUUACAAUCACAGGAAUUAAAGCCAGCCCAUAAAGCAGCCCCUGAUGGUGGUUUCUCCAGGAAGCCCUCAUUCAUUGCACUAAAUAAAGAACAGCUGGCAAUAUACGAGGAUUAAGGCAAGCUCCAAAAUGUUUUAAAUGCUCUUUUAUGAUUUCCUCCUUGCUUUCCACCCCAUGGCACCACCUCACCCACCGCAAAGGCGCCUGGGAAACACACAAACGCACACACACAGCCUCUAGAGCCCAUUAAAGUCUAUCAUCUCCUCUCCUCACAGCCCGGGAAGAUUUGUCUGCGCUUUCAGAAAUAGUCUCCUGAGGUGGGUAUUUAUUGGGACUCAAACAAGCAAACUGUAGAUAUUUCUUGGGGCUUUUACAGCACUAAUUAAUGGUGCCAUUAAGCAGUAGAAUUAUAACCACUUGUAGAGAGAGAGAGAGAGAGAGAGAGAGAGAGAGAGAAGAGAGAGAGAGAGAGAUUCACCCCAUGAUAUACAUCCCCACCUGCCCUGUACUGGUGGGGAAUGGAUGUUCAAGGAUGGAGGGAGAAAUUCUCCGGCUUAUCCAGAUGACCAAGGGUCUGCAAACCAAGCCUGAUGAGGAACGGUUGAGGGAGUUUGAUCUGUUUAGCCUGGAGAAGAGGAGACUGAAAAGGAGGUAUUAUCACCAUCUUCCAAUAUCUCCAGGGCUGUCCCAUGGAAGGUGGAGUCAGCUUGUUUUCUCCUGCUCUGGAGGGUAGGACUCGAACCCAUGAUUUUUCCAUUGCAGGGACUUCACCCUCUGGUCCCCUUCAAAAUCGACAAUUCUAAGAUUGCAUGACGAUUCAAUGGAUUCCAGUUGCAAGGAAGGAGGUUCCGACUAAACACCAGGAGGAGCUUUCUGACGGCAAGAGCAGUUCAGCCGCGGAACUCCCUGUUUGGACUCCCUUGGAAAGCGAUGGACUCUCCUUUCCCGGAGGUUUUUAAGCAGAGGCCUCUGUUAUGGAUGCUUGAGCUGAGAGCCCUGCGUGAUGUAAGCCAGGCAUUUGGCAGACACUACUCUUGCCGACACGCAGAGCGUCUCUCCAGAUGCUUCCCUCUGUGGAAGCUCAGCGUGGCUCCCUUGGGCGCCAGACCCCCGCUGCUCCCCUCUCCCACAGCCCUGAUACAGACCGACUGCUUGGCUGCAAAGGGGCUGCCCCUUUGUGGGGCAGGGGGCAGGAGAUCCAGCUGCCAGGGCCUGCGGUCCAUUCCAAAGAGAGAGGCCCCUGGCUCAGAAGGCAGGCAGGCAGGGAGCAAGCGUGUGUGAGAGAGAUCUCCAGUUUCCCUAUGACUUUUCUGAGUAAUAAAAGCAAGAGAAUUAGCUGCUAAGCCGAUUGAGAAACUACUCAUUAUAUCCCACAGAGAAAAGAAUAGGGAAUUGCCAUAAUUUUGUUUUAAAAGCAUGAAUAAUUUCUCUGGAAAUUAGAAAUGGGCAUAGAAGUCGUUUUGCACACAGGGAUUUCAAAGGCUUUCAGGGAGACCAAUUGAGCGCCUUCCUCUCCAGCCCACCCCCCCUGAAAGAAAGAAGGAAGGGGGGAAGGAGGGAAGGAAGGAGGGAGGGAGGGAGGGAGGGAAGGGUCCUGUCACGAGUCUGCAAGAGUCUGGGGGCCUUGGCUGGGGAAGGAGACCUUCCUACCAAGUCAUUGUCAGCUGAGAUCAAAGACACAAGGAGAAAGUGAUGUCACAACACAGUUGUCAUAAUGCAAUGAUGUCAGCUGUGUCAUUGGACUUAGCUGGGAUGUGAAAAUGCUGGUGGCACUGGGAUAUGAACCACAGAAUGAGAGGAGGGGAAGUCAUUGAUUUAAGAUUGUUUAAAUGAAUAAUGUAAAUUAGAAAAAUAAUAAAAAAUAUUAUAAAAAAGGGGUUAUAUGGUUCCUGCAACAGCAGCAGUUCUGCUGAUCAAAGUGGUCAUGUGGAUAGAUAUGGGGUAUGCACCCAAGUUUUUAAGGGCUUCAUAUGCUAAUAGUAGCACCUUGAACUCAGCCUGGUCGCAAAUGUGGGAUGGUGAUAUGUAAGUAGCAGUCAAGUACAACAUUCCUUGUUUUCCUAGAGUGGGCAUGCAAGGGGAUGUUUGGUCCAGCCAGUUGAAAACUUCCUGUUUCCUCCUGGCUGGGACAUACUAGAGGUGGGCGUGGCCUUACCUGUCCAGGUAACAAAAGGACAAGUCACGCAGCACACCCUCUCUCUUUGACUACCUCCCUCAUUGGAGCACCUUUUUAGCUAGAGAUGCUCUGUUGGCUUUCAGCCACCAGAGGACACUGGGAUUAUCCCCAUAUGGGAUAGAUCCACAUGUAUAUCCUUUGUAACUAAGUCUGCCUUCAGGGAUCCAACUCUGAACUGAUGAUGUGAGUAAACUUGUUUUAUAUACUUUAUAUAUAUGUGUUUAUUCUUUUAAGAGGGACAUAAGGGGACUGACCUGGAACCUAAUAGUAGAGGCUCACACGAGCCUGCAACCAGUUAUCCACUGUGCAUUUAAAAGGGGAAUGUGAAACUCUGCUAAGUAAAGGAACUUGCUAGCGCAAGUUAGGAAGGAUAUGAAUAAACAAUAUAUCCUCUCCUGCCUCCCUGAACAAUUCCCACAGCAAAUGGGCAGCCAGUGCAGAUCUCUGAGCACUGAGGUGUUUUGUGCUGGCAAGGCCUCACUCUUGUCAGCAGUCGUGCUGCAGCAUUCUGCGCCAACUGCGGCCUCUAGAUCAAGCGCAAGGGAAGCCCCACAGAGAGCGCAUUGUAGGAAUCCAGCACUGAAGUCCCCAGCGCAUGAACCGCUGUGGCAAGGCUGGCCUGCUCCAGCAAAGGCUGUAGCUGCCGAACUGGUUACAGCUGGCCAAAGGCACUUCCAGCGACUGCAGUAAAGAACCGCUCUUGUUCUGGGUUCCUGCAUUGCACGGGGUUCGGCUAGAUGACCUUUGGGGGUCCCUUCCAGCUCUGUGAUUCUGUGAUUUCUCCAGAUUUCAGAAGGGCUUGAAUGUUCAGCGCUGCCCAAGCAAGCACCAGUGGCAGCUCCACAUUGGGCUUCGGCCAGGCACCAUAGAAAGCCCCUGCUGCCAGUCAGUGUAGGUGGUACUGAUCUGGAUGGAUCCAGUGGUCUGACUCUGUAUAAAGGAGUAUCUUAUGUCCCUAUGCAAUCAAGGGUCGCAGGAGGACAAGGUGAUAGGGUACUUCAGCAUCCCUCCUCCGAAAUACUGUGAUUGGAUGGCCCUGACAAACCCUCUGGUUGGACGCUCUCCCCGCCAGUCACAAAAGCAUUUCUCCUUGGGGAGAAAUGUUCCAGCUUUUGCAGACCUGCUGCCUGCCCAGCUCUCUUUUCAUUCCAAACACCUGCAUCCCUUUGAACGUCCUCAGUUCAGCUCAGGGGGCUCAGGAGAGACCCCACUUCAGCCCAGACAAGCCCCCAGAGCCGUCUGAAGUGGUUCUGAGUUUGCACAGAUCUGCUGUGUGUCCCUGGCAUGCAGGAGCUGCAAGAUUUGGGCCACGGGGAGGAAAAACCUCCAAGCGCUUGUAAGUCAGGUCAGGGUUGAAUUGAUGUGUUGGGAGCUGUGAUCUCGAACAGCAUCAGCUGUAAUUGAUUGGCGAGAGUGGAAUAAAAGCGCCGAAAGAUGGUUGGAGAGGAUAAUGGGGAAGUCGCCUGUCUCAAUCUCAGAAGAGAAAAAGUGAAACUCAGGAGGCCUUUGGCAGGGAGGGAGCUGCGCCGGAAAGUCAUUUAUCUCUGGCGUAGAGAUAAAUGCAGGAGCAGCGCAGAUUUCCAGAAUUGUAGAGUUGGAAGGACCUCCAGGGGUCAUCUAGUCCAACCCUAUGCAAUGCAGACAUCUUAGCUCAAGAAUCCCUGGCAGGCAGCGUCCUGUGGGAUGCAGGAGAGGAUAUAUUGUUUGAUUAUAGCCUUUCCAACUUGUGUAAACAAGUUCACAAUUAGCAGAGUAACAUUCCCUUUUUUAAACUUGCAGCGGAUGAGUUUGCUCAGGCUCGCUAAAGCCUCUGUUCUGGUAUUUUCCCCUUAUUCCCUUAUAGAAGAUAAGACACGACACAGUCUUCUAUAAAAAGAGUUUACUCACUCACAUUCUGUUCACAAUCGGAUCCCAGAAGGCAGACUUAGCUUGGAAAAGUAACAUACACCUGGAAACUAUCUCAUAAGGAGACAGUCCCUUUGUCCUCUCUUGGCUAAGCAGAUGUUGCUUCUUCGAUGCAUGUAGUCAAAGAGAGAGAGAUGGCUGCCCUGCCCUGUGCUUUUGUUGUUACUUGCACAGGUGAGGCCACACCCACCUCUAGUCACAUGCAGAGAAAGUCUGUCCCAGCCCAGAAGGAAACAGGAAGUUUACCUGCUGGCUGGACAAACAUUCCUCCCCAUGUGUAAACACGUUCAGUUUGGAAUGUUGCACUUGACUGCUCUUGUGUUUCACAUCUCACACAUCCAACCUGUUUAAAGACCUCCAAUGACUCAUAGAAUUGUGGAUAUGGGAGGGAGCCCAGGGGGGUUGGACUAGAUGACCCUUGGGUCCACUUCCUCCAUUACAAUUCGUGGAUUCUAUAGGACACCCUUCUACCACCUUUUGUGACUAGAGAGAGGCAGCCGCAGCUGGCUCUAAGAGCAGGACUCCCAGCUUGCAAAAGGAAUGGGGGGUGAGCCGAUCCCCCAAACUGCCCAGACACAUGUCAAGAGGGUGGCAGAGGGGCGCUUCUGUGUGCAUGGCUCAGGCAGGUGAGGGUGGGUGCCUGCCAUGGGUCCAGGCCCACAGGACACCCCUCUGGUUGCAAGAGAGAAAUCUGGUGUGUGUGUGUGUGUGUGUGUGUCCCAGGCACAAAUUGGGGGUCAGCCAAGGGCCUCUGGAUUCACAGGCUCCCAGAUCACACACACGUGUGUCUCCAGCGUAAGCGCCAAGUUGCACAGGUGGCGGCUGGGCUGCAAAUGCAGUUCAGGGACACGCUGCCAUUAUGCGCAGCCCUUAUCAAGACAAAGAGACACUCUUUUGGCAAAGAGCUGCUGCUGGGGGGGGGGCGACACCAUUAGCGCCCCCAGAGCACGUGCCUGCGAGCCCAACACCAGGCAGCUGCUUUGCACACUUCUCUUGCCCACCAGAGGGGCAUCGCUCUCAGCCUGGCAAAGGAUGCUCAGGGAAGACGCCCCCCCCAGGAGCUCAGGCAGCAGCUGUGAAAGGCCUGUAGGGAGGUUGGUGAGCCUAAACAGAGCUGGCUGGAUCAGGCCAAAGGCACAGCUUAGUCGAGCAUCCUGUCCUCACAAGGGCCAAAUGCCCCUAAGAAGCUGGUGUUCUAGGUAGACUGCUUCUGGAGCUGGAGGUUCCAUAAGGAGAGCCCAUGGACCACCUGUUCCAGUCUCCUCUUUUUGCAGGGGCAGCCAGAUGACCGUGGGAAGCAGGAUUUGAGCACAAGAUCAACUCUUUCCUCCUGCAAUUUCUGGCAAUUCCGACUGUGGAGGCAGAGCAAAGUCAUGGCUAACCUUCUCCUCCAUGGCUAACCCUCUCCUGCUCCAUGAAUUUGCCUCAUCCUCUUUCCAAGCCAUCCAGGUUCGUGGCCAUUGCUGCCUCCUGUGGCAGGGAGUUCCACAGAUUAACUCUGCGCUGCACAAAGGAGGACUUUCUUCUGUCCAUCCUGAAUCUUCCAUCAAGGCGCUCAGAAUGGCUGAGAGGCUCCUCUCCCCGGUUAUCACCAAAUAAUAUCACCAAACGACUUUUGGCGGCCGGCACAUCUACGCUCCAGCUGUCCUGCCGGGGACCCCCAACUCCCUUGAGCCCCUCAGAACCACAUUUCUGGCUGGCGACCCCGACUGUCCCCCCCUUCUCUUCCGGGGCUGGGGAGCGGCAAAUGGAGAGCUGGCCCCUUCCCCCGGCAAAGGGGCAGCCCCACUGCCCAGCCACCUGAGCGGUGGGGAAGUUGGGCAGGGAGAAAUGGACCCCCCUCCCUGAGUAACUGAAUUUAUUCGCCUCCUCGAAAAGAUGACGGUGGUAAUUAAAAGGCCGGCGUGUCAGUGUUUUGCUUCAUCCUAUGGUGGUGGGUUUUGUUUCCACUCUCUGCCCCCCCCCCCCAGCAGCCAAGCACUCGAUCUGGAUCCCAGCUGCAUUUCAGAGGGUUUUGCUUCCCUGGCAGGAAGAUGAAAUAAAUGCAUCUCCAGCGACUCCAGCUGCUCCUUCCCCCGGCGCUGGGAAAAGGUGGAAAGAGGAGAUGCUCCUACUCCUCCUCUCCCAGUGGACACUCAUCACGAGAAGAGCCUGCUGGAUCAGGCCCAUGCCCCCCCCCCGCAGCAUCUUUGUGGGAAUGUUCAGGGAUGCAGGAGAGGAUAUAUUGUUUGAUUAUAGCCUUUCCAAUUUUUUAACUGUGUUAACAAGUUCACAAUUUAGCAGAGUAACAUCCCCCUUUUUAAACUCGCAGCGGAUGCGUUUACUAAAGGCUCACUAAAGCCUCCAUAAUAACUGUUCUGGUAUUGUCCCCUUAUUCCCUCAUAAGAGAUAAGACACAACACAGUCUUCUAUAAAAGUAUAGAAAGAGUUUACUCACAUUCUGUUCACAAUCGGAUCCCAAAAUGCAGACUUAGCUUAGAAAAGUAACAUAUACCUGGAAACUAUCUCAUAAGGAGACACUCCCUUUGUCCUUUCUUAGCUGGUGGCCAAGCAGAUGUUGUUUCUUCAAUGUAUGUAGUCAAAGAGAGAGAGAUGGCUGCCCCGCCCUGUGCUUUUGUUGUUACCUGCACAGGUGAGGCCAUGCCCACCUCUAGUCACACGCAGAGGAAGUCUGCCCCAGCCCAGAAGGAAACAGGAAGUUUACCUGCUGGCUGGACAAACAUCGCUCCCCAUGUGUAAACAUGUUCACUCUAGGAAUGUUGUACUUGACUGCUCUUGUGUUUCACAUCCCACAAUCUUGUACUGACUUUGGCCAAAUGCACACAGGAACCCUGGAAUGUGGAUAGACUGCCUCUGGACCUGGAAGUUCCAUAAGGACAGAAGAAGAGCCCAGCUUCUUCCAUGGCCCAACUAGUCAUAGAAGCAUAGAAUGGUAGAGUUGGAAGGGACCUCCAAGGGCCAUCCAGUCCAACCCCCUGCAAUGCAGGAAUCACGACUGCAGCGUUCCCGGCGGGUGGCCAACCUCUGCUUCAUAACCUCCAGGGAAGGAGAGCCCAGCGUCCUGUUCCCACAGUAGCGCAACUGCUGCCUGUGGGAAUCCUUCAAGCAGGAUUCGAACACAAGAGCAGCUCCCCGCUCCCGUGGUUUCCAGCAACUGGUAUUCAGAAACAUCGCUGCCUCUGACUGCAGAGCCAGAGUCUAGCCAUUGAGGCUGGUAGACAUCAAUAGUUUCAUUUUCCUUUACGAAUGUGUCUCAUUCUCUUUUAAAGCCGUCUAGGUUGGUGACCAGGGACGCGGGUGGCACUGUGGGUUAAACCACAGAGCCUAGGACUUGCUGAUCAGAAGGUCGGCGGUUCGAAUCCCCGCAAUGACAGGGUGAGCUCCCGUUGCUCGGUGCCUGCUCCUGCCAACCUAGCAGUUCGAAAGCACGUCAAAGUGCAAGUAGAUAAAUAGGUACCACUCCGGCGGGAAGGUAAACAGCUUUUCUGUGCGCUGCUCUGGUUCACCAGAAGCGGCUUAGUCAUGCUGGCCACAUGACCCGGAAGCUGUACGCCGGCUCCCUUGGCCAAUAAAGUGAGAUGAGCGCUGCAACCCCAGAGUCAGCCACGACUGGACCGAACGGUCAGGGGUCCCUUAAUUUGGUGGCCAUUGCUGCCUCCUGUGCCGGGAGUUCCACUGUUUAACUCUGCUGGAUGAAGAUGCAGUGGCGGAGGAACCCUUUCUGUCACCCGGGGCAGGACGCCAAGGGGCGGGGCAAACCACCUGGUGGCACAUGCGCAACAUGCGUAUGGACUGUGCAUGCGCAGCAUCCCGUACGGAGUGCGCAUGUGCGGCAUCCCAUACGGACGCCCAUAUGGACAGCACAUGAGAGCGGCAGCCUGUACGGUCGGCCAGGAGUCUUUCUGGGUGAUCUUAGACCAGUCAGCAUUCCCUGUCUGCCUCUGAGGGGAGAGGGGGCAACAGAUAAUGGGUGUGGGUGUUGCUUGUUCCCGUUGCCCCACCCUGCAUUGGAAAUGACCUGAUCAGGGGUGGGGGCUUCAGAGGGGGCUUUAGUCCAAGGGGCUAAGCAAGCCGAGUGGCCUUUGGGUGGAAGGGCUUCUUGGGCUCCCGUCUUAGGGAGGGUGGGGGUCCUCCCCCUGUGCAAGCCACAGCUGGUGGCCAGGUCUCCUCUCCUCUGCUUUGAUCAUCUGGAGAAAGCUGGGGGAGGGACCUCCUCUGACCUCCAGAUUGUAAAUGUCAGGAGCGUUUUAUGCUGGAGAUAAAGAGCCCUCUUUGCGAGAUUGUAACAAGAUUAUGCUCCAUAAAAGCAGUGAGUGAUAUUGACAGCGUUAUUGCAGGAAGAAGGUUGAGGGAGUCCGAGGCGCAGAGGGAGCAGAGGAACGGAAGAGCAGAAGGGGAGACCGGCUGCUGGAUCAGGCCCAACGGGGCCCCGCCUGGUCCAGCACCUGGUUCUCAUGGUGGCCCAAUACCCAAUAAAUCCUUUUUUGUUGUUGUUUAGUCAUUUAGUGGUGUCCGCCUCUUCGUGACCCCCUGGACCAGAGCACGCCAGGCCCUCCUGUCUUCCACUGCUUCCCGCAGUUUAGUCAGACUCAUGUUCGUAGCUUCAAGAACACUGUCCCACCAUCUCGUCCUCUGUCGUCCCCUUCUCCUUGUGCCCUCCAUCUUUCCCAACAUCAGGGUCUUUUCCAGGGAGUCUUCUCUUCUCAUGAGGUGGCCAAAGUCUGGGAGCCUCAGCUUCAGGAUCUGUCCUUCCAGUGAGCACUCAGGGCUGAUUUCCUUCCGAAUGGAGAGGUUUGAUCUUCUUGCAGUCCAUGGGACUCUCAAGAGUCUCCUCCAGCACCAGAAUUCAAAAGCAUCCAUUCUUCGGUGAUCAGCCUUCUUUAUGGUCCAGCUCUCACUUCCAUACAUCACUACUGGGAAAACCAGGAAUCCAGAUAGCCUGCCACUGGACCUGGAGGUUUCAUAGGAAGAUUGGAAGAGCCCGGCUGCUGGGUCAGGCCAAAGGGGGCCCAUCUGGUCCAGCGUCCUGUUCUCACAGUGGGCAGCCAGAUGCCCCCCAAGGAACCCACAAGCAGGCCCUGGGUGCAAGUAUAGUCUCCAGUUGUAGUUCUCCAUUAUCUGGUAUUCAGAGGUAGACUGUCCCUGGGCAUGGAGGUUCUGCCGCUGCAAUCUGCCUCCAUAAGGAGAGCCAGGCUGCUGGAUCAAGUCCUCUCACUCCCUCUUCCUGCUGGGUGGGAAGGUGGUGAGGAGAACGAGGUCCCAUUCAGGGCUCCUGAGUCCCACCUUGCCGUCCUGAGAAUCAAAGAAUGAUAGAGCUGGAAGGGACCCCGAGGGUCAUCUAGUCCGACCCCCUGCAAUGCAGGAAUCUCAGCUAGAUCAUCCAUGACUGAUGGCCGCUCUGCUUAAAAGCCUCGAAGGAAGGAGAGUCCACAACCUCCCCAAGGAGACCUUUCUGCUGUUGAACAGCUCUUCCCCUUCAAAUGUUCUUCCUGAUGUUUAUUUAGCUGGAAUCUCCUUUCUUGUAACUUAAAAAAUGAUAACUUUUUAAUGUAAGUUCUGUGACUCUUCCCUGCUCAAUUCAGUCCCUUUACAUGGUUUUUUAAUGCAUUAUGGGAGAUAAGCUGUUUAUUUUAAAGACAUACCUUUUCAUUGGGACUUUUCUGCACUGUUGCAGUGCAUAUUUGCUGCAUAUAUCUCCUCAGCUUGCAAACCAGCUGGCCUGCAGCAAUGUGGAAAGGCGACAUGCAAAUUAAGAGGGAAAGAGGGAAAAAUGGAAAGUACAGCCCAAGGGUUACUAGGCAGAAAUGUGUGUGUGUGUGCGCGCGCGCGCAUUGCUGCCACUUUUCGCCUGUGCAGCCAGUGAUGAGGAGAGCAAGCUCACCUUGUCACCAUGGCAACUGCAUCCCAGGUCGCCCAAGUGCCAUGGAUGACUCUGCACCUCCAGAUUUCAAAGAGUUGGGGGGGGGGAGAGGGGGAGAGAGAAUCUCAAGCCCUCGCUGAGAUCCAGCAGGAGUCCCACUGGGCGGAUGAUCCCUGGCUUGAGCUAAACGAUUUUGCAAGGCCUUCAUGGGCGGAGAGGUGAACACACAGCCAGGAAACAAGCAGUCAGCAAAGGCUGGGGGGAACAGGAGGGGGCCAAGAAGGAAGGAUUCGCCAGGAAUGCAGGCAGAUUCCCCUGCAAAAAGCCCCCCCCCAACAUGGAGGGGAGGGUUCACGACUCCCUAGCCCCCCAACAUGACCUGCAGCUGUUUGGCCCCCCCCUUGGUCUUGGAGGAAAGAGCAGUGCGGGGAGGGAGGCUGUGGCAUUUUUAGCCUGGCCAUCAGAAGCUGCAAUGGCCAUGCUGUGAUUUCCCAGUGCAAAGCGGCAAAGGCUGAAUAAUAAUAAUUUUAUCAUUUGUACCCUGCCCGUUGGACUGCUCUGGGCGGCUCCCGACAGAUAUAAAAACAUAAUAAAACACCAAACAUUAAAUAAUAAUAAUAAUUAUGGUUCUGAAUGACAGUUGCUGGCAAGCCCCCUUUGGCCGGACCCAGCAGGCUUUGCUUGCAUUCUCCCAUUCUUAUGCCUGUCGGCAAGGGAAAAAGAAGGGCCUUAUGCAGAGUCCCACCACUGGUCCAUCUCGCUCAGGAGACCGGGCGUGGGUCCCCCCUGGUUUCAGACCGGAAAGGGUCAGGAGGACGGAGAAAAGGAAGUUCUUCUUCAUCCCUGCCACAGGCUUUAGUAGUGGCUUUAGAAGAGGAUGAGACAAAUUCAUGGAGAGCAACUAGCCAGGCUGGCUUUGCUCUGGCUCCACAUCUGGAGGUGGCAAGUCCAGCUGUUGAGAGUCGCUCUUGUGCCCAAAUCCUGCUUGUGGGUUUCCCACAAUGGGCACCUGGUUGGCCACUGUGAGAAGAGGACGCUAGAUCAGAGGGAGCCAUUGGCCUGAUCCAGCAGGCUCCUCUGAUGGAGCCUCCAGGUCCAGAGGCAGUCUACCUUGAUCCCCGGGUUCUCAGGGGCAUUUGGCCCCAGUGAGGACAGGAGGCAGGGCUGUCCCCGCAGGCGCUCCUCCUCUUCCCAGCUCCUGUCGCCAUAAUGGAGACAAACGAGGACAUCCUUUGCCAUGCUCCGGGCGUAUAGCUGCGCGCGGCGGCACCCGAAUCUGCUGAAGCGGCUUCUCUGCGGCGCCUGAAGCAAAAGGCGCCUCUAAAUGUUGCGCUAAUUUCCCAUGCAGGCAGAGACCUAAUUUACAUUUUUAUCAGGCUUUCAAAUUACUGCUGUCUGUGCCUGCAACUCUUUCCGCUGCUGCUGCUGCCGCCGCCGCCACAGCUGUAAGGGGCUCUGGAAAUUACGAAGGAGCGGCUGGAUCCAGAGGCCAGCCUCAGAGGUGCAUAUCUGGGGGGAGUCAAGAAGACCCCUGGAUGCCCACAGAAUCACAGAACCACAGAGUUGCAGAACUGGAAGGGACCCCGAGCACCAAUCCGCUGCAAUGCCAGCAGCUUGCUGGGGAAAGUCUGGGUUGGAGAGCCUGUCUCUCUGCCUGCCCCCAGCCCCCCCCCCCUGGACUCCUGGACCCUGGGGGGCAGCCUGGCUUUGGCUCAGUCUGUGCUCACCCAGAAACCCCCUCUGACAUCACUUCCUGCUCAGGGCAGAGGGAGGCAGGCACUCACCUUGGGGUUACCUGUUCAGGUGGGUGCUGACAGGUGCUGCAACUUUCAGAAGGCCAAGCUCAUCAUGCCAGAUCGCAGGACUGGGCUACGGCUACUCUGUGGUGUGGCGCUGUGGGUUAAACCACAGAGCCUAGGGCUUGCGUAUCAGAAGGUCAGCAGUUUGAAUCCCCGCGAUGGAGUGAGCUCCCGUUGCUCGGUCCCUGCUCCUGCCCACCUAGCAGUUCAAAAGCACGUCAAAGUGCAAGUAGAUAAAUAGGUACCGCUCUGGCGGGAAGGUCAACGGCGUUUCCGUGAGCUGCUCUGUUCGCCAGAAGCGGCUUAGUCCUGCUGGCCACAUGACCCGGAAGCUGUACUCCGGCUCCCUCGGCCAGUAAAGCGAGAUGAGCGCCGCAACCCCAGAGUCGGCCACGACUUGACCUAAUGGUCAGGGCUCCCUUUACCUUUACCUUACUCCGUGGUGAGAGGGAGGCACUUGGAACGGGCUUAGGGAAAGUCUCCUCUUCCUUGCUGCCAACUCCAUGCGAAAGCCGGGUCCUGACUGGACAAAAAUUAUCAUGAGCCAGAAGGUCAAUUUUCACAAACAAGCCCUCAGAUUUCUCCGUUAACAAACCAAAACCAUUCUUAAACCGAGGUGCACUUUCCCUAUGAGGCCUCCUGCCGCCAGUGCCCUUCCAGUGUUCAGAUUCCGUUCUUAGACUGAGGUAAAGUUCUCAGACCGAGACACUAUUUCCGGUUUUCGGAGUUUGUAAACCAAAUCAUUCUUUCUUUUUUUUUUAAAAAAAUGAUAUUUAUUGAGAAUUUAAAAUUACAAAAAAAGAAAGGAAGAAACAAGAAAAAAAGAAAAAGAAAUAAAAAGGUAGACAAAAAUAGCGAAUGAACAAUACAAGUCAAUAAAAACCAAAGUCAAAGAAAAAAACAAAACACACAAUACAUCAAAAUCAGAAAACAAAAAUAAACAAAAAAUUAAAAAAUAAAUCCAAUAUUCCCAAAUCCUUAUCUUUCAUUAACUUGUUUCAUCGACCUCCUCGCACCUCCCUUUUUUGUAUUCUAGUUAUUAAUUAUCUCAGCAAAUCCUUUCCAUGUUUCACAAUAUUCUGUCAUUAAAUUACCUUAAUCUAUUUUAACCUUAUCUUACCAUAAAAAACCCUAAAGCUUAAAACUUAAGUCUUAUUUAUACCUAAUUCUUUUUUAGCAUAACAUAAUUCUUUUUAACAUUUCUACUAAAGCCAAACAAUUUCAUUCCAACAUUUUUCUAAUACUCAUUAAUUUUACAAUUAUUUUCUAAAUGAAUUUUUAAAACUUUCUUCCAAUCUUCAUCCAUCGUCUCUUCUUCCUGGUCUCGGGUUUUGUCAGUCCUUUCUAUCCCAUCCAUCUAGUCCAUCAACCUGGUGACCUUCUAUCCGAGGCUCUUAAGUCUUUUCCAUGUCCCUUCCGCAGGUCUUCAUGUUUAUACCUGUACUUUACUUUAUCUUCUGCUGAUCUUGUUCUUAAUUUCCUUCCUUUCUCUCGGGGAGACUCCAACUUGACAAUAUCUUUGUCCCUUCUCGACAAGUCAGCCCAUUCUCCAUAGUCGACACUGAAAUCCAUAUGAUAUUUAAAGGCAUGUUUCAAAGUCCCUCCAAGGUUAAGGGCCCCCACAACUCCAAACUCCCCCUGGCCCAAAGCCAAAUUCGAAAAGCCAAAACAUCCCUGCAUAGGGGAAUCUAUCCAGCUUCCCAUCUCCAAGCCAAACAGAACUCCAUCUCUCCAAAUCUGACUUUCUCCAGGUUCAUUCGUCAAAUCCAACAACUUAUGUUCCUGCAGGGCCGCAGCUCUCUCCAUUUCUGCUACUUGAGGUUCAGCAACAACCUCCUCCUUUAUCUUCUUCACCACUUGAUCUGUCAAAGCACAUUCCUGGAUUAAUUCCUGAGUGGGUUCUAUAUAGGUAUUCACUGUCCAAAAUUUCCGACUGCAACAGUCAUCAAAUCCAUCUUCUCAUGUAGCUGUUCCAGUAAAGUGCUUGUCUUGCAAAGAGCAAGCACUAAAGCUUCUUCUGGGCACAUUCUUGUUCAAGGUCAAAGUCUGGUCCCACGAUCUUUAAUCUCUACAGCUGCAAAGUUCCCCAGAUCGACUCUAGUAACAGUUUCACAAGCUCCCUCUAGGGGAAACAAUUUCUAUUUGUAUCCGUCUUUUUAAAAGCAGAUCUAGCAACAAAGUUCCUUUCCUUUUUCAGAUAUUUUGUUCCUUUUAAAUGCAAAAGGGAACAAUGGAAUCAAUAUGUUUCUCUUUUUUAACUAUCUGUCAAAAACUUUUUGUCCACAGUCAAUGGACUUCCCCAAAGCGUCUGUCCUGACACCCCGCUCCCAGGUUCAAGACGGUGGAAAUUUAUCUUUCUUUACUCUCUCUUCUGCAGGUUUAAACAGUCUAAAAAGAUUCCCCUCUCUUCUCCUGCUUCCAAGGGGGGUUUAGUAAUUUUAAAUGAUGGAAAUUUAAUCCUUUACAAACGACUUUCCAGACUCUAGCUUGUAAUGUCUUUGCUUCAAUCUAUUUACAAAAGCGGAAGGCGGACUUCCUGUUUAGACCUUCCCGCUUCGGUGCCAAAUUAAGAAGUUUCAUAGUCCAAUUUUCCGUUCUACUCAUGGGCAGUUGUUUAAAAUCCAAUUGUCCACAGGAAAAAGUCAGCGCUCUCCGGCAACAGCAAUGCAGCUUCACUCUGUGAAAAGAGCAGUCGAUUCGAAGCACCGCGCCGCUCACCCCACGUCGCUCCGGAUCCCCGAAACCAGGUUUCCCCGCGAGUAGGGGAGGCGCAAAAGGUGCCAGCCGAAUCCCACGUCCACAGGCUUCUCCCGCUUGUGGUUUUUGGUGGGUCUCCGCCUCGCCGCGACGGUCCAGACCCUAAUUCUCACGAAGCGGAUUCCUCCCGAUCAGAGGAAAUCCGCCAUUGCCAGAGGCGCUAACCCGGAAGUCCUGUAAACCAAAUCAUUCUUAAACCGGACUGUUUUUUAACCAAGGCACCACUAUAUUUCCCUCUUAAAAUAAGAACAACACAACACCGUCUUUUUGAAAAUAAGAACAAAGUUUUACUCACAUUCAGUUCACGGUGGUAAUCUGAAGGCGGGCUUCAUCUUGUGGUUACAGUUUCAUUGGUAGAGAAAAGGAAGUCUGAGCUAAAUCUCAGACUGGCUUUUUGUGGGCUCCAAAGGAUGAGCCAUGCGCUGGCUGAGCGCCAGGAGCAACAGAGAUCCAGAAGAGAAACUGCGAAAGAGAGAGGGGAAGAUGGCGGCAAGUUCAGCCCCUUUCCUUGGCCAGCGGGGGUCACUCCCAUCUACCUGGUCACACGCAGAGGAAGGUGGCUCCCAACAGGUAGGGCAGGAAGUCCUCCCUGUCUGGAGUCACAUCCCCCUUCGUGUCCAUUCUAGGAAAACCGGGAAUGUGGUACUUGACUGCUCUAGCAAAACACAUCCCACAGGAUCAGAUUCCAACUAAACAUCAGGAAGAACUUUCUGGUGGGAGAGUCGUUGGACAGUGGGACGGGCUCCCUUGGGAGAAGUCGGGUGGCAUCUGCCGGGUGGGAUCCUGCAGCUGCAAUUCCUGCAUUGCAGGGGGGUUGGACUAGAUGACCCCUGAGGUCCCCUUCCAAGGCUACAGUUCUGCGAUUCUAAGUUUCUAGCCCUUUCUGGCAAGCUGCGUUCACACGAGGCCUCCUGGCUCCCCCACUUUGCUUUCCCAGCUGGAUAUUCCGCUACUUGAAAGAAGUGGGAGAAAAAACAAAGAGGUGGGCAGAUGCCAAGAAAAAUCCGCUGCUUCGUUCCAGUCUUCUGGCCUCCCACUUGGCAGCCUUGGAUCCCUCCCUCUGCAUUUUCAUUCCUUUGUUGGUUCUGAAUUAAUGCCACCAUUUACGCUUAAGGAGGCUCUCGGCAGGAUCAGGCCAGCUGAAUCCCCCCCCCCCCGAAAACAACAAAAGUGGGACCCUGCCGGGAAUGCUGGGGGGGCACAGUUGGCAAGGGGCUGGCAGGAGCUCUCAGACUGAGCCCCAUUCCCUCAAAGGGAAUGGCAUGCCAGGUGUGUCUGCUGGUGGGGGGUGGGCUUUGCAGGCUCAUCGCCCCCCCCCGGUCCUCAUGGAACUGGCCACCCUCUGGCUGGGAGACGCUGCCCGCUUGGGCUUGCCCAACGGAAUGGUGCCAUGGCAGCCAGAGCCCGCCAACAAGGGAGGGGAGGGCGCAUGUUCCCACACACUUGUCAUUCCAGGUACACUCGCUGUGUUUGGCAUAAACACUAAUUAUUUCGUUUGCUUGAGAAUGAUUGCAUAAUUACAGAGCAGGAGGUUGGGGGGAGGGAAAAGGAGCAAAGAUGGCGGGAGCCAAGAGGGAGCCUCUGAGAUGGAGCCUCUUCUCCUCCAGCUGCCUUGGGAGCCCCUCGCAGGUGGGAAGGGGAGAAGGAGGAGGGGGCUUCUCUGGGGCCCAUUAGCUCAAAGGGAGCCGGUGGUCCUGAACCCCACGGGUGUGCUCGGCUUCAGGCUGCUCGUCUGCGUGAGAUGCCUCACCCAUCACAGUAUUGCAGAUUUCACCAUUGAUUAAAUGGUUUGUGCCCUUUGCACAAGCCAGUGUGCUUUAUAAUAAUAAUAAUAAUAAUAAUAAUAAUAAUAAUUUAGUAUUUGUACCCCGCCCAUCUGGCUGGGUUUCCCCAGCCACUCUGGGCGGCUUCCAAAAAAGAUUUAAAAUACAUUAAAAUGAAACACAUUAAAAACUUCCCUGAACAGGGCUGCCUUCAGAUGCCAUCUAAAAGUCUGGUAGUUGUUCUCUUUGACAUCUGGUGGGAGGGUGUUCCACAGGGCAGGUGCCACCACCGAGAAGGCCCUCUGCCUGGUUCCCUGUAACUUGGCUUCUCGCAAUGAGGGAACCGCCAGAAGGCCCUUGGCACUGGACCUCAGUGUCCGGGCAGAACGAUGGGGGUGGAGACGCUCCUUCAGGUAUACUGGGCCUUUGAGGCCAUUUAGGGCUUUCAAGGUCAGCACCAACACUUUGAAUUGUGCCCGGAAACGUACUGGGAGCCAGUGUAGGUCUUUCAGGACCGAUGUUAUGUGGUCUCGGCAGCCGCUCCCAGUCACCAGUCCAGCUGCCGCAUUCUGGAUCAGUUGUUGUUUCCGAGUCACCUUCACAGGUAGCCCAACAUAGAGUGCAUGGCAGUAGUCCAAGUGAGAGAUAACUAGAGCAUGCACCACUCUGGUGAGAUAGUCUGUGAGCAGGGAGGGUCUCAUCCUGCAUACCAGGUGGAGCUGGUAGACAGCUGCCCUGGAUAUUACAAAGCAAAUAGAUGAAAUCUCACAAAAAAUGGCACCAUCCUUUAAAAACCAACUCUACACUCCUAUAAUUCUAGGAAAGGCAGACUCUCAAUGUGCAGGGGACUUCCUGGCCUGUUGCUAAGCACACCUGCCGGCCACAGGUGCAUUGCCUCACCUGGCAGGGCAGCUCUUGCCCUGUGCUGCUUCCUGCUCCUCCUCUUCUCCCCUCCAGCCCUUCUCGGAACAAGGAGGCAGAUUUCCCAGCUCCCUCCUGCCAGGAAGCUGAGCCAGCAGAGCCCCCAAGCGCCAGCAGCCAAGCGCUGGUCAGGCCAGCCGGGCAAAGGCACCUCCCGGGAGCUGCUGAGGUGUGGCCAUGAGGGUGAUGAUGAUGGAGGAGAGCUGGAGGAAAGUGGCAGGUGUCCCCUGGAGGAGUGCCGGUUAUGGGAGGGGGAGCUUCUGCAACAGCCUCUUUCUGCCGGCUGCCUUGCCAGGCCCCAGGCGGCUGGCUCUGGGAACGAGUCCGCCGGUUGCCCUUCCAAGUGACGGAAAGACAGUUCUGGGCUGCCAAAUUGCAAACAGAGGGAACUGAAAAUGGCACGGCCAGAAAUUCAACUGGCAGGGGUGGCCGCCAACCUAGAUGACUUUGAAAGAGGCCAAGAGAAAUUCAUCAUUCCUCUUUCAAAGUCAUCUAGGUUGAUGGCCACCCCUGCCAGUUGAAUACCAGGAUGAAGGUCUUGCAGGCUUGCGUGUUGAAGAUGCUGCUUUAUGGAAGCGAGUCAUGGGGAACUUGUACCUGCCAGGAGCGAGGCCUCAAGGCCUCCCACAUACGCUGCGUCAGGAAGGUGUUGGGCAUCACCUGGCAGGACAGAGUCUCAAACAAAGAUGUGCUCUCCCAAGGUCACAUUCCCAGGGUCAGGCAGGAGAGGAACCAACGGAUGAGACAAGGAAAAGUCUUUGCCAUCUGCUUUUAUUCAGUAUUCACAGAGAGGUUUGGAAGAUGGCCUAUCGGAAUAAUGGUGUUGUCCCAAGUGAAUCUCCACCCUGCUCCCUCUCUCCCUUCAUGUGUCAUCACUACGGGUGCUGAGAUGUGUCCUCUGCCUCUGAGCUUUCUGCUCUCCUACUUUCAAGGCCCGCCAGGUUCUGGGAGAUGGAGGUUCUGGAAUGCUUCCUAGAGACACUGUGUCCAUCAGCUGUGGCCCCUCUGGUGCUGCUUCUUCCUCCCCUCCCAUUAUUGCCCGGUUUUUCUCUCAUCUGCCUCUGAGCUGUGACCUCCCUCAAACCCCAGUUGUAAUUCUAAACUGUCUCUUUCUUCUCUGGAAGGGUCAGGCUGAGGAGGCAGUCUCCACCAUUCCUCUGCUGCCCCAGUCCCUGAUAGCCUGUUCACACUCCUGUCCACACUGGCUUGGUCACGUCCACAGAAUGGAAGAUGGCAGGAUCCCCAAGGACAGGACCCAUGGGGCUUCAGGUGUCAAGACCAUUGGCAGGCCAACUCUGUGUCACAAAGAUGGCUGCCAACGUGUCAUGAAGGUUGGCGACAUCAACCCCACUGUGUGGGAUUCCCUUGGAGAUGUAUCCAUGUCAUAUAUCCACAGCAGUGGCCAGAGGAGGAAUGACCACUGGGAGGAGCACAGAGAGAAAUGCCCAGGUGCAUCUGCAGUAACAACUGGACUCCUUCAUCUGCCCCGGCUGCAGCAAAACAUGUCUCUCCCAUAUCGGUCUCUGCAGCCACAGCAGGUGCUGUAACUCUCCAGAGGUUUGGCUUCACCCCCCAAGGCCCACCCCUCCACUGUCUCUUGAGAUAGACAGAUGCCAACGAACCAAGACCUGCAUUGGCUCCCAGGACAUUUCUGAGCACAAUUCAAAGCGUUGGUGCUGACCUUGAAAUCCCUAAAUGGCCUCAAAGGCCCAGCAUCCCUGAAGGAGCAUCUCCACCCCCAUCAUCCAGCCUGGACACUGAGGUCCAACUCCGAGAGCCUUCUGGUGGUUCCCUCAUUGCGAGAACUGAGGUUACAGGGAACCAGGCAGAAGGCCUUCUCGGUGGUGGCUCCCACCUGUGGAACGCCCUCCCAUCAGAUGUCAAGGAGAUAAACAACUACCUGACUUUUAGAAGACAUCUAAAGAGCCCUGUUUAGGGAAGCUUUUAAUGUUUGAUGUAUUUAUCAUGUUUUUAAUAUUCUGUUGAGAGCCGCCCAGAGGAUCAGUCCAUCAAUGGCUCCUCGCCAGGAUGCCUCUGCUGUGUCUCCCCCAUCAGAGGGAGGGAUGGUGCAGAACCCCAGUUGCUGGAGACCCCAGGAGGGGAGGGGGCCCUGCAUUUGUAUCCUGCUUGUAGGGUUCUCCUAAUGGGCCUCUGGCUGGCCACUGGGAGAAGAGGCAUGGCCGGAUCCAGCAGAGAUCUUCUUAUGUUCAGCACCACCAUCCUGUGUCAAGCCCUUUGUGAGGUGGUGGAGCUGGAGAAACCGGCGGUAGACUUUCUUCAUCUUCUUUUUUAAAAAGAAAAGCCAAAAUUUUAUGUUACUUCUUUUUAGAAUAUGGUUUAGAAGAUGAGGUGAAUUUUGGAUGUAAUGGAGAGGUAAAAGAUCUGGAUUAUUAUAAAAGAUGCAGGAGGAAAUGAUUAACAAUAGGGGAGGAGGGAAGUCUAGGAGAUUCUAUGGAAUCUUGUCUUUAUGUUGUAUGUUGGAUACGUGAUUGUAAAACUGUAAUUUGAAAAACCAAAUAAAUAAAUUUUAAAAGGAAUAAGAUGAAAAAAGCUAUACCAGUUAAUAAAUCCACGGAGAAUUAGGAUUACACCCAAACAGUUUCACAAUAUUACAUUAAUCAGGAGUGCUUUGGAGUGAGGGGGGCUCACACAGUUCACCCCCCCCCCCCCCCGGCAAGUUAUUGUGUCUUCCUCCCACUCUCUUCAUGCGCACAAAUCAAUAGACGCAUAUUGAUCCAUAUUGGAGGGGUAUAUCCACCUACUGUCCCCUGGACUCUGCAGGGAAAGCUCAUCAAUGGCAUCCAAGUGAAAAGGAAAAAAGAGAGACUUGGGCAGUUUGUGAGCUCCUGUGCUGCAGAGGAAGGGGGCUGAACCUGUCAACAUCUAGGAUGCCUUGCCAAGGUGACGUUGCCACAGCCUCCUAACUGUGGCCAGGAUUGCCCAAGAGCAGCUCCAGGGACCAAUUCAAAGGGGCUCCAGGCCACCUCUGGGCAGGAUGGGCAAGAGGACCCCCUGGACACAGACUUCCCUGGCUGGCUUCUUCCCAUUGGCUGCUCUGUUGCUAGGCUGCGGAAGUCCUCCUCCAUCCUCCUUGAGAGAGGAAGCUGUUGCUGGCCAGGAGCGGCAUCUGGCAGGGCCUGAAGAGGCUUCCCUCUUGAAUGAAGGAAUCUGAAGGCUGGUUUGGUUUGUUACGGAAAAAUCCUGGGUGCAGAUUUACUCUGCUGCCCAGCUUAUCGGGGUCCCUCCUGGUCAGCAAGAGAAGGAGUCUCCAGCCAAGUUAAAGAAGCAAAACAGCGGUCAGUAGACCUGAUCUUUAUUUGUUGCAACAAGGUUCAAACACACAGGGAGUAGGAACCCCGAGCAUGGGCUUGCGUGAACUUUUAAGACCCCCCCCCCUUCUCAUAAUACAUUUCCAGAUAUGUCAUCGAUUUCUGAAGAUGGGCUUUGUGAACACCUGGCUUUGGCAAAGUCCAUCAAGGGAUAUCUGUUUGGUCCAUUGUUACCUUUUCCCCACUCCCUGGGGAGGGGCAAGGUGAACCCUGUGCCUCAGGGAUUGCAGAGUCAGGGGGAGCCCUGGAUUCUCCUCUUCCAGAGAAGUCAUUAGCUGUUGGAACCAAGGAAAUUUUUGGCAUUAUUUGGAGUUCCUACAGUUUUCUAUACAGUGGUACCUUGGGUUAAGAACUUAAUUCGUUCUGGAGGUCCGUUCUUAACCUGAAACUGUUCUUAACCUGAAGCACCACUUUAGCUAAUGAGGCCUCCUGCUGUCACUGCGCCACUGCCACACGAAUUCUGUUCUCAUCCUGAAGCAAAGUUCUUAACCCGAGGUACUAUUUCUGGGUUAGCGGAGUCUGUAACCUGAAGCGUCUGUAACCCGAGGUACCACUGUAUUGGAUAGUCAGAGGAAACAGUACGAUUCAUGGUAUCUGCUUAUUGAUACAAUUUUAGGGACUGCUUUUCUGAGCCUCUUUGCUGUUGUGCAUGUGUGGUGCAUGUGUCAACGGUCAUUGUCCUGGCCUUAGUUCAAGGCUGUGGUGGGGACUUGGGGUUUUUUUUUGGGGGGGGGGGCGGUUGUUUAGCCAGUGUGGUGUAGUGGUUAAGAGCGGCAGUCUCGUAAUCUGGGGAACCGGGUUCGCGUCUCCGCUCCUCCACAUGCAGCUGCUGGGUGACCUUGGGCCAGUCACACUUCUCUGAAGUGUCUCAGCCCCACUCACCUCACAGAGUGUUUGUUGUGGGGGAGGAAGGGAAAGGAGAAUGUUAGCCGCUUUGAGACUCUUUCAGGUAGUGAUAAAGCGGGAUAUCAAAUCCAAAACUCUUCUUCUCUUAACUGCCCUCCCCAUUCCUGGUUUUAACAGGUUGCUGCCACCUGAUGCAAACCCCUUGGAAGUGGGGGGGGGAGGUCAAGAACAUGAGAGGGUAAGUAGAGCCUGCUGGAUCAGGCCCGUAUUCUUACCGAGCAGAUGCCCAGAAGGGAAGCCCAGAAGGAGGACCAAAGAGCCACAACUAUUGGCCACUGUGAAAAAAGGAUGGGUCUCCUUUGUACUGAUCCAGGACCCAGACCCUUCUUCUGUCCCGAUGGAACCUCCAGGCUAAGAGGCAGUUUAUCUCAAUCUCCAGGUUCCUUGGGGUUUCUGGCCUCUUGGCUAGGUGAGCCAUUGGCCGGAUCCAGCAGGCUCUGCUUCUUCUGUCCUCCUGGCAUGAGGCUCCACUUGUGACAGAGGUGCCAGGGAAGACCCUGAGAUGCUGCGGAAGAAGCAAUUAGCAGCCGUGAGGUUUCUUCCCGCCCUGACUGCAUGUUUUGUCCCUGGCAGCUCUUUCCUAACAAAUCGCUGCGAAGGUUUUGCAACGAGGCUGCUGAGUAAAUCAAUGCUAUGUAAGAGCAAUUUCUCUUCCUCUUCCCCCCCAAUCUCUCAACCAAAUCAGGUUACAAUGACGGCAGGUUGCUGGAAAACUGAAAUUUCCAAAAUAGACUCCCACAUAAAUCUUGUUCAGGCAGCAUGUGAUGAAAACAAAAAUCAAACUUCAGGCUCCAGUCGAUAAACGUGGUUCCCGGCCAGAUGCUGGAGGAUUUUACAAAGUGACAGAGAACGAUAUCAGUGGCUCUGCUCUGCUUCUGAAGACCAGCUGCUGGGGGGUCCCAAGUGGGGGAAAGUGUGCUCAGGUCCCAGGGGCACCUGGCUGGCUCCUCUGAUAAGAGGGUGCUGGACAAGGUCGGUCCCCGUUGGCCUCAUCCAGCAGCCAAGCUCUUCUUAUGGAGGCCCAUUGUGAGAGCAGAACCUCCAGGUCCAGGGACAGUCUACCUCUGAAUACCAGACUACAAUGGGAGAAUACACUUGAACCCGGGGUCUGCUUGUGGGCCACUGGGAAAACAGGACACUGGAACAGAUGAGCCAUUGGCCUGAUCCAGCAGCCAGGCUUUUCUUAUGUUCUUAUGGAGCCUCCAGGUCCAGAGGCAGUCUAUCUGGAUUCCUGGGCUCUUUGGGGCAUUUGGCCACUGGGAGAGCAGGAGGCUGGACAAGAGCGGCCCCCUUUGGCAGCUGACCCAGAAGAUGCUCGCUUGAUGUUACAUGAUGUUCUCCUCUGAGGAAGGGGCCACGGCGGUGUUUGCUGGGAUGCCCCACUCGUCUUCUGUCUGCUUUGAAUCCUCCUUGGCAAGGCAGGCCAUCUCAGGUGGUUUGAUAUUGGACCCACCUGACAAUUCAAUUAAUCCUUUGGGACCUGCUCCUGAAAAUAACUUCGCCCUGAUUUCCCCUUCUACAAAAGGAAAGGCAAGACGCGGAACAAGCCCAGGUGUCAUCUUUCAUUUCGAAUUCAGCCCAGGUAUAUUGGAGGCAGCGGGCACCUGCAUCUCAAUGGAGCUGAUCUCUUAAUUCGGUCCUGUCUCUGGAAGAGGCUCCCUGACGAGAAUGCCAAGCUCUCAGCCCAGCGAAACACGCAGAGCAGGCAGACCCUGGAAAGAGGCUGUGUGGUUGGAAGAGGCUGCUGGAUCCGGCCAGAGGGGACCCACCUAGUCCAGCAUCCUGGUCUCACAGUGGCUCAGUAGAUGCCCAGAUGGGAAACCAGCAAACAGGAGUCAAGAACGGGAGAAACUCCCCCCCCCCCUAUUUUCCAGCAGCUGGGAUUCAGAAGCACUGCUGUUUCAAAUUGAAGAGGCAGAGCACAGCUAUUCUGGCUAGCAGCCAUCCAUAGCCCUCUCCGCCUCCUCCUCCUCCAUGAAUUUGUCUAAUCCUCUUUCGAAGCCGUCCAGGCUAGCAGCCAUCCCUGCCUCAUGUGGCAAUGAGUUCCACACCUUGACCCUGCCCUGACCCUUCCAACAUUCAGCUUCAUCGGAGGUCCCCACUGAGCUCCAGGUUAUGAGAGAGGGAGGAAAUAUUUUCUCUGUCCCCUUUCUCCAGGUCGGGUAUAAAUUUAUAAACCCCCGCCGUGCUGCCUCUCACUCGCCUUUUGCUCCAGACUGAAAACACUGCAGCUGUUCUUCCUGUGGGCCUCUCUCUGCCCCCUUGGGUCAUGGAGGUGGGGUCUUUUUCUGAACCCUUUCCAACUCUGCAUUAUCUUUUUUGAGGGGAGGCACCCAGAACUGGACACAGUUAUUCCAAAUGUGGUUGUGUGGGAUGUGAAACACAAGAGCAGUCAAGUACAACAUUCCUAGAGUGAACAUGUUUAGACAUGGGGAGGGAUGUUUGUCCAGCCAGCAGGUCAACUUCCUGUUUCUCUCUGGGCUGGGGCAGACUUCCUCUGCAUGUGACUAGAGGUGGGCGUUGCCUCACCUGUGCAGGUAAUGACAAAAGCAGAGGACAGGGCAGCCAUCUCUCUCUCUUUCACCACAUGCAUCGGAGGAACAACAUCUACUGAGCGAAAGAUGCCCCCUUGGCUCCCAGCCAAGAGAGGACAAAGGGACUGUCUUCUUAAGAGAUAGAUUCCAAGUGUAUGUUACUUCAUUAAGCUUAAGUCUGCCUUCUGGGAUCUGAUUGUGAACAGAAUGUGAGUAAACUCUUUUUAUACUUUUAUAGAAGACUGUGUCGUCUCUUCUAUUUUAUGAGGGAAUAAAGGGGAAAUUACCAGAAUAGUUAUUAUAGAGGCUUUAGCGAGGCUGAGCAAACACAGCCGUUGCAAACUUAAAAUAAAGGGGAAUGUUUUACUCUGCUGAAAUUGGGGAACUUGUUAACACAAGUUGGAUAAGGAUAUAAUCAGACAAUAUAUCCUCUCCUGCAUCCCUGAACAUUCCCACAGGUUGCACCAUAGACUUGUGAUUCUGGGCUGCUUUGUUUUCAAGUUCCUUCCUAAGGACGCCUAGCAUCAAAUUUGCCACUGUGGAGGUAACGCUCCUCUGUGCUGAGGCACACCUGGCAGCCGGCAUGCCACAGUGUGCCAAGGAGCCUUGCGCCCACGCUCCCUGACCCUUUGCCUUCUUGGCUAGCAAACAGGGUUUCCCCCCUGACCGUUUGUCCUCUCACAGAUUUGGUUACUAGACACAACACUUGGCUGGAGCCUGACGGGGGACGCAGAUGUAAUCAAGUAUCGGGGAAAACAUCUGAGGGAAACACCUGCUGACACGUGUAUUUGCUAACGCUGGAAAUGUGCGUAGAUGGAAAUACGUUAAGUUCAGGGUGGUUUCACUACUGUUUCCAAUUGUUGACUUCUGCUAAUAAAAGGAGCCUUGGCAGAGCUAGCCGGCAGCUUGCUUGGCGCAUGCCUGCCAGCUUGCUCCUGCGCAGCUCACCUGCAUCCAACCUCCCAUCCUCCUCCAUUAUUCCUACAUGCCACGUGUUUAGUUGACACCUCGUUCCAGCUCUCCAUUGCAAGCCGAAGGUCUCAGUCCUGCCGCCACCCAGAGGUGUACUUAGGUUCCUUUGCACCCCUGGCGAGGAGAUGUUGGCUACCCAGAAUCAUAGAUUUGUAGAGUUGGGGACCCCGGGGUCAUCCAGUCCAACCCUUUGCAAUGCAAAAAACGGGUCUUUCCAGGAUCCAAUCAGAAGAUAGGAUGGCUUCUGUAAUUCUGGGAUGUCCCACUCAAAUCGGGACAACUGAGGGGGUAUGGAAAUGCCCCAUCCCAGGGGGCUUAAGGUCUUUCUUGGCUCCAACCCCAUCCUGCUUCCCUCUGCAGCCUGCAAUACUCCCUUCCCACAGCCCUGAGACUGGCCAGGAAGGGACAGACUGAGACAAGCCCUGGGGGCCGGGAAGGGGCAUUGGGUUGCUAAGCGGGGGAGCAUUUGUUUUUUUUUUUUUAAUAUAAUAUUUAUUGAUUUUGCAAAGAAAAAUUCCAAAAGAUGCAAAAAUACAAAAAUUCGACAGACAAAAAACAGCAAUAACAAUGACAAAAAGCAAACAGAGAUAACAAUAUCCAUAACAAAGAAAGAAAAAAGAAAAAAAAGAAAAAAAAGAAACAGAAAAAUUUAAAAAAUAUUAUACUUUCAUUUAACCUUCUUAUCUUUCCCUAGUUCUUUGACUUCCCCGCAUCUCCCCGCUUGUAUUUCCAUUUAAAAACUCCUUUCAGCAAAUCCUUACCCUCCUUUCUUUAUCUUAACUCAAGAAACUUAAUCUAUUUAUAUAUAAAUAUUUUUACAACCUUAUCAAUCAGAUAUUCCAUGCUCUUAAUCACAAGGCUUUUGCCAAUACCAGUUAUUUUCAAUCAGACCUCAAUUUAACAUUCAUUAAUUUUAUAGUAUUUCUGUAAAUAGUCUUUAAAUUUCUUCCAAUCUUCUUCCACCGACUCUUCUCCCUGGUCACGGAUUCUGCCAGUCAUCUCCGCCAGUUCCAUAUACUCGAUUACCUUCAUCUGCCAUUCUUCCAGAGUGGGUAAAUCUUGUGUCUUCCAAUACUUUGCGAUGAGUAUCCUUGCUGCUGCUGUUGCAUACAUAAAGAAAGUUCUAUCUUUCUUUAGCACCAAUUGGCCAACAAUGCCCAAGAGAAAGGCCUCUGGUUUCUUUAGAAAGGUAUACUUAAAUACCUUUUUCAACUCAUUAUAUAUCCUUUCCCAGAAGGCCUUAAUCUUUGGGCACGUCCACCAAAGGUGAAAGAAUGUACCUUCAGUUUCCUUACAUUUCCAACAUUUAUUAUCGGGCAAAUGGUAGAUUUUUGCAAGCUUGACUGGGGUCAUGUACCACCUGUACACCAUUUUCAUUAUAUUCUCUUUUAAAGCAUUACAUGCUGUAAACUUCGUACCUGUGGUCCAUAACCGUUCCCAGUCAGCAAACAUAAUGUUGUGUCCAACAUCCUGUGCCCAUUUGAUCAUAGCAGAUUUUACCGUUUCAUCCUGAGUAUUCCAUUUUAGCAGCAAGUUAUACAUUCUUGAAAGUGUUUUAGUUUUGGGAUCUAACAGUUCUGUUUCCAACUUUGAUUUUUCCACCUGGAAGCCAAUUUUUCUAUCCAAAUUAUAGACCUCUCUUAUUUGGUAGUAAUGCAACCAGUCUCGCACUCUGUCUUUUAAUUUUUCAAAACUCUGCAAUUUGAAUUUAUCUCCUUCUUGUUCCAAGAUCUCCCAAUAUUUUGGCCACUUGGCCUCCAUAUUGGACUUUUUAGGGCCUUUGCCUCCAUUGGUGAUAGCCACCUUGGGGUUUUAUUCUCCAAUAAGUCUUUAUAUCUUAUCCAGACAUUGAACAAUGCUUUCCUGACAAUAUGGUUUUUAAAUAUUUUGUGAGCUUUAACCUUGUCAUACCACAAAUAUGCAUGCCACCCAAACACAUUAUUGAAACCUUCUAAAUCCAAAACAUCAGUAUUUUCCAGAAGUAACCAAUCCUUCAACCAGCAGAAAGCUGCUGAUUCAUAAUAAAGUUUAAAGUCUGGCAGGGCAAAUCCCCCUCUUUCUUUAGCAUCAGUCAAUAUUUUAAAUUUUAUCCUGGGCCUCUUGCCCUGCCAGACAAACUUAGAAAUAUCUCUCUGCCACUUCUUAAAACAGUCCAUUUUGUCUAUUAUUUGUAUCGCUUGAAACAAAAACAGCAUUCUUGGCAAUACAUUCAUCUUGAUGACAGCAAUUCGACCUAACAAGGAAAGCUUCAAGUUUGUCCAUUACCACUGUUAAACCUGUCUCAUUCUGAAACCUCUCUUUUUCAAUCGGUGUUAAAUUCUUCUCAAGUACUUUAGUUUUAAACUUAUUCAGCUUAAAACCUGCCACCUGACCAAACUCUUGAAUCAGUUCUAAUGCUCUUUUCGUACUAGAUUCUGGCUCCUGUAAUGUCAGUACAAGGUCAUCAGCAAAUGCUUUCAGUUUAUAUUGUUUCGCUCCGACCGUGCUAAGCGGGGGAGCAUUUGAUUCUGUUUGUACUUAAAGAGGAACUUACCAAAACUUGUGCUUCCAAAAUCCCCCCAAAUGAACCCAAAUACAGCCCCCACCCCCAUGCGCAAGGCAUUUAUCUGAUUUUUGCAAUGCGUCUCUCUCUCUGGGGCAGGACUGUGCGCAGAAAUGCACCAACCAGGGUGAAACAUGCAUGGGGGGAUGCAUAGAUUACUGAGAAGAGCACACAAUCGAGGCACGACAGGAGGAGGAAGGGCUUUGCAAAAAGGUGUCUGUUAGGCAAAAUGUAUCGAUUGGGAGACAUUAGCAUGACAACGCUGACAAAUUACCUGAAAGUGUGGAGAGCAGGAUUUGCCGCUAGAAAAAUGAGGAGCCAGAGAGAAGAGGAAUUGACAGGUGCUGGUUGCUUCUUGCUUGCUCCUCGGAGACCCUGCUGCCCACCCUUUCAAGCCUCCUGAGACCCACAUCCUGUCAGGACAAGGGGGCGUUGCCCCCUGGCUUUAUCUCUGUGGGAGCCCAGAGAACGGCAAGGUGAGGGCAUCACCUCUGAGCAUCAGGAGGACGCAUGAAAAGGUUGUCCUCCAGGGACCCCAAACAGCAGCAUCAGGAGGAAGCAGCUCUUAUCUCUCUUCUGCAAUGGUCAGAAGCUUUGAGCAGAGGCUCCGAGGGCACAGCCAACAUCUCCUGCUCUUGCGGAGAACAUUUCAGCGGCUGCAGGAGGAAGUCAAAGGCUCUCUCUCUAUAUACUGUGUAUAAAACAGUGGGAGUGAUUGUAACAACAGAUACGAAUUAAAAGAUGGUCAUAAUUGAGAAGAUUAUGUGUAAUUUGAGAGUUCGGCAAGAACUAGAACCUCUAGACUCUUUUUCAAAAUACAAUUUGACGCUCUUUUACGGCUGGCACAGCAGAAGCCUCGUUUUCCGAGACGGGCCUCAUCGCAAACCUGGAAGGAGACUUGCUCAUCUGAUUCUGUGGAUGGGCCUUAUCUGCACCUUGUUUCCUUAACCCAUUCUGUGUGGCGGUUUUAUAGUUUUAGUUUUUCAUCUUUUAGUUUUCAUCUAAAACAGUAUUCUCUGUUUUAUGUACAUUAAAAAAUUAAAAAGAGGAGAAUUAAAAGAUGGAAAGGCAAACUAUAAAACGGGGACACGGGAUGAGUCCAGUUGCACAAAAUAACCAAGCCCAGGUGAAAAAUUUCAGCAUUAUCUGGUUCAUCAAGUCUGGUUCCAGAUGUGCCAGAUUUGCGAUGAGGGUUGUCUGGAGAAUGUAUAUGUCAUAAAGGAAUGCCAAAUUGUAUAAAAAGCACUUGGGGUUUAGUCCCUGUCAAAAUCUCAAAUUAUGUGCAAUUUUCUCAAUUGUAGCUCUGUUUCUAUUUAGUUUCUGCGUCUUUAUUUUUAGAUCUACUUUCCCAGAUUGACAAGCUGCACCUGCUCCUCAAUUCCCCCUACAGCUUGUGCAGAAACUGCCUUCUUCUUCUUCUUCUUCAUCAUCAUCAUCAUCAUCAUCAUCAUCUAGUCCUGAUUCCACGUCCACUCUGGGCAGCUUCCAACAGGAUAUUAAAAACACAAUAAAACAUCCAACUUCACCGCUGGACCCACAACUGAUCUUGCCUUCUUCAUCCACCUUAGCCUGUCUUCGCAUGCAGGAGAAGCCCCUAAUGCACGUGGGGGUUGAGACCCAUUGGUUCCCCUCACCCGGUUUAGCUGGCCAGCUGAAGCUGCUCCCUGGAGCAGAAAGUGCAGCCGUGAAUCAACACUGCCAGAACAGCCAUAUCUGAACUUUGUGAAUGCUUCUCUGAUUCUGUCGAAAAAGCUCUGCUGUGUGGGAAUGUUCAGGGAGGCAGGAGAGGAUAUAUUGUUUAUUAAUAUCCUUCCUAACUUGUGCUAGCAAGUUCCUUUACUUAGCAGAGUUUCACAUUCCCCUUUUAAACGCACAGCAGGCAGCUGGUUGCAGGCUUGUGUAAGCCUCUCACUGUUAAGUUCCUGGCAAGUUCCCUUAUAUCCCCCUAAAAAGAAUAAACACGCCACAAACUUGUGUCAAGUAUAUAAAAUAGGUUUACUCAGUUCACAGUUGGAUCCCUGAAGGCUGACUUAGUUACAAAGGAUAUACAUAUGGAUCUAUCCCAUAUGGGGAUAAUAUGGAAGCCAACAGAGCAUCUCUAGCUAAAUAAUAAUAAUAAUAAUAAUAAUAAUAAUAAUAAUAAAUUUUUUUUAUUUUAUUUAUAUCCCACCCUCCCCAGCCGAAGCUGGGCUCAGAGCGGCUAACAUCAAAUGUAUAACACAUUAACAUAAAAUCAAUCAAUUAAAAUACAUCCUCAAAUCAGGAUCAGAAUAAAAUCCAAUCAGAUGGCAACCCGCAGAUUAGGGUUGGGGACCUUAAAUGCUCACCAGGCCCAACUGUUUGUGCUGAACUUAUAUGGGCCUGUGAGAAAAAUUGGGAGGCCACUUUCAUGCAAGUUCUUAUGAAAGGGGAGGGGGAGUCAGACUGAACACCGACCAAAGGCCUGGCAGAACAGCUCUGUCUUGCAGGCCCUGCGGAAAGAUGUCAAGUCCUGCAGGGCCCUAGUCUCUUGGGACAGAGCGUUCCACCAGAUCAGAGCCACAGCCGAGAAAGCCCUGGCUCUAGUUGAGGCCAGCCUAACUUCUCUGUGGCCUGGGACCUUCAGGAUGUUUUUAUUUGAAGACCGUAAGUUCCUCUGUGGGACAUACCAGGAGAGGCGGUCCCAGAGGUACGAGGUUCCUAGGCCAUAUAGGGCUUUAAAGGUUAAAACCAGCACCUUAAACCUGAUCCUGUACCCCACCGGGAGCCAGUGCAGCUGGUAUAGCACCGGGUGAAAAGUUGCUCCAACGACAGAGGAAGUAAAAAACAGAAAGAGUGCUGUGUGGCUGUUCCUUUUGUUACCUGGACAGGUACGGUCACGCCCACCUCUAGUCACAUGCAAAGAAAGUACGGUAUGUCCCAGCCAGGAGGAAAUAGGAAGUUUUUGACUGGCUGGACCAAACAUCCCCUUGCAUGUCCCCUCUAGGAAAACAAGGAAUGUUGUACUUUACUACUUACAUAUCACAUCCCAAAUGCUGAACUGUCCCAGAGAUAUCAUUGAAGCAAGGUGAACACAAAAGAGGUGAACUACGACACAGCUAGGUCCUCCUUUGGCAAAAGUGAGCAACAGAUCCCCGAGUAGUUUGAGGCUGGCAUAAAGGACCCGGAGCCUGUUAUUGCUUGCAAAGCACGAGUCUCUUGUGAACUACAAUCGUGCACCCUGCAAAAAGACACUUGCUGCACUGAGGAAGGCAAGGAGCAACGCCCAGUGGAUUGCCAGGUGCCAUGCCAGGGACCGCUAGCUAAAGCUGUGUCAGAGCAUCCAACUCACUGCUGACCCUGGCAAAAUGCACAAGGCUUUUGGACCAGCAGUCAGGAAACCUUGUCGGGAGAGACCAUCACAGACUGCAGCAAGCAGACGAAGUGAUGGGCAAAGCACUAUCAAGAACUGAAUUUGAAGGAAAACAUGGUCUCUGACACUGCAAUUGACUGCAUCCAGACUCUGCCUGUCUGGGAAGAGAUUGGUGAGCCAUCAACUCUCAGGCAAAGUCUCAGGACAGGACACAAUCCCAACAGAAGUGCUGAAAGCCAGCUUCAAUUCCUCCCUCACGACGCACCUCCAAAGCCGCCUCUUGUAGUGAUGGGAACAAGAAGCUGAGCCACAAGAUUCCAGCAUUGUGACCCUCUCCAAGAACAAAGGUGACGGCCAUGACUGAAACGGUCAUGAAAUUCUACUCAAUAUUGAUCCAGAGCAGAACUCUGACAUAUAGUUAGCAGAGUAAAAACUUAAACACAUUGCAGGAUUCCCCAAAAAUAGACCAGAGGCAAUUCUAUUUCAGCCAGCAGAGCUUUACUGCUACUGAAGGCAAAGGAGUGUAAUGGUCACAAAUCCAAAACAUUCAAGGUUAGCCCUGUCCAUAAGAAAUCCACUUGCAGCAGACUUAACUUAAACUUGCCAUAACUUAUAAUAAGACUAAACCUUUGCACUAAGCAUACUAUGUACAGAACACCAAAAGGAAAAGAGAUAGAAAGAGAAAGUGAACCUCAGGCUCCUUCUGGCCUCUUCUUAUAGUCAGCAUGACCUUGACAGAAGAGAUGACAGAACCAGGUUAAGCCAGCUGUACUCAGCUUUUCUGAAGGAAUAACCCAAACAUCAGGAACCUUCUGCUUGCUUCUUUCAAACAGAGAAGCUUCCAGAACCCUCUUGAAUUUAUUAGAAUCGGAAAGAUCUCUACACAUCAGAUCAAUACUUUCUGUACUAAGAAAUGCAAAGCGACAAAAACAACUACUGCAGGAUCAUCCCUGCUGAGUACCAUGAGGCAGGAGCGUAUGAAGGGGGGUGCGGGGGUGUGGACCACCCCGGGUGUCACCCUGACAGGGGGUGACAAAAUGGAGAGCAGCACUCGUCACCGUGCGGCCUGCAGUGUGCACGAGCCAUGCGUCUCGUUGCCCACAGGCUCCACGCUGUCUGCCCGCUACCUCCCCCCCCAGCUGUCGGGAGGCUGAGGCCCCACUGUGUGCCCAGUCUCGUCCCAUAUGGGCACCAUGCGCCCCGUGCCAUCCCUAUGGGUGCUGCUUGCCCUGUGGCAUGUGGUGUCCAUAGGAACAGGACGGCACUGUCAGGAGCUCGUCCUACACUCAAGUAGGACCCUGGCAUUGACACAUGCCCGACUGGCAUGUUCUCUCCCUCCUGGUCGAUUGUUCAGGAGCUUCAAAAGCUUUCUUCAUCCCGAACAUCACAGCGACUGAUGCCAACAGACAUUGGCACACUUAGGGAUCUGCAGAGUUUGCGCAGCAUGCAUGACAGACUCUCAGUAACUCAGCAUUUUGGCUAAUCUACUUUAUUUGCAUAUAAACAUACACGGAGCACUGCAACAUGGCUCCCUCUCUCUCUAGCAUCAGACAACAAAGAGAGAGGACAAAGGACAAUAGUCCCACUUCACGGAACACAGGAACACAAACAUCCUGUCUCCGUCACUUCCCACUCUGGGGAGUCAAAACAUACACCAUCAUGCAAUGGCGUAGCGUGGGGGGUGCAGGGGGGGCCGGCCACACCGGGCGCAACAUCUGGGGGGGCGCGCUCGCACUCGCAGCUCUCUGCUCACUCACCUGGCUCACUCACUCUCUCUCAGUUAGGGGGCGCAAAUUACUUGCCUUGCCCCGGGUGCUGACAACCCACACUACGCCACUGCCAUCAUGUGAUAGACAAAAAUCCCAUGACUGCAAUCAUGGAGCAGGAAUUCUAAUAGGCAUGUGGAGUCCAUAGGGACGGGGCGCCGGGGCGCUCAUAGGGACAGCAUGGGAUGCCAUGUGCCCCAUUCCGCCCCUAUGUGCGCCACACCUCCUGCCCUAUGGGUGGUUUGCCCUGCCCCUGGGCAUGCUGCCCCAGGUCCCCGAGAGCCUUCCUCCUCUGCUGCCAUGGGGAAAGCCUUUGCCUCUGUAGUUCCCAACAGAUUACAGUCCCUCGCUGACAGGGCCUAUCCCGAGUCACAACACGGCUUUAGAGCUCAGAUGUCGACAGUAGACAUGAUCUUCUGACUGCGCCAGCUGCAGGAGAAAUGCCGAGAGCAGAGAAAUCAGGUGGACAUCACCUUCCUGGAUGUGACAAGGGCCUUUGACUUCGUCAGCUGAAAAGGACUCUUCACACUGCAGCACAAGAUAGGAUGCCCACCUAAGCGCCACGUUGAUGGUGGUGUCCUCCCACAAGAACAUGCGCAGCACCCUCCAUAUGACGGCUCAACCUCGGACGCCUUCCCUCCAAAGAGUGGUGUGAAACAGGGCUGGGGUCUUCUUGGCCCAGCUCUCCUUGUUCCUCUGAUGUGCCUCCAGCCUGACUGAAGAUGGUUUGCACCUCCCUACAAGGAGCAACGGGGGGCUGUUCCACCUGGAACGUCUCCAUGCCAAGACUAAAAUGCAGCGGGUCCUUAUCCAAGAGAUGCUGUUUGCAGAUGACCCAGCCUUGACAUGGCAAUGCAAGGAAGCCUACAGAGACUCAUCAACCGUUUUGCCCAAGCCUGAAGGGAGUUUGGCCUAGCUAUCCACCUGACAUCAUGGGCCAGGACAUGGCCAGCACUCCAUGCUUCAGCACUGGUGAUCACAGGCUUGAGGUGGUGGGCAAUUUUGUCUGCCUGGGUUCCACCAUAACCAGAAACCUCUCCAUUAACAUUCAGCUGGACGAGCGUAUUGGCAAGGCAGCCAUGGCAAUGACUCACCUCUCCAGAAUGUGAUGCUAACAACCAAGAACAAGGUGAAGAUCUAUCAGGUUUGCAUGUUGAAGAAGGAGCAAGCUUGCUUUCUCCUGCUCCAGAGGGUAGGACUCAAACCAAGGACUAUUCCAUGAUGGAACCGUGGACUCUCCUUCCUGGGCGGUUGUUGCGUUUGCAAAGUAAAGGAAGGAUUGAACUCUGAUUCAUAAGAAUACACACAGAGGCUUGAACCAGCAAGACUCUGGGAAGGGUGCGUAUAAUUGUGUCUCUCUGUGCUUGUCCGUUUGCAGCCCCCUCGCCCAGGUAGUUUUUAUUCACAAAAGAGCUUUUUACAGAGUGUUUGUAAGAACCAAUCAGAUUUCUUCUGAGCAUUUCCACAAACCCAGGUGGGGAGAAAGCUAAUCUAUAAACACUAGUUAUCCAUGCAUACUUUGGGGGUAAAUAAGUUGAGAACUACAAAGGGGAGCAUCUGGCAACCCCGGAGGUAAUAAACAAGCAAUACACAUGAUAAGGAGGAUGGCCAGGAGGACAGCGGAUCAUUAUCACCUUCAUGUGAGAUCUGUUUCCUGGCCCUAAGAUUAACAUCCUAAGAUUACCUAUUAGAAAACUACAAAGACGAAACUGCCCAGUCUUUGAGGACACAGGACGCCUGCCUGUCUAAGUGUGUACGUGAUUCGUGAAAAGCAAGGAGAAAUGGGCAGCAGAGGCCAAAGGGCAUGGAAAGGACACGAAUGUAGAAUCUUAUGGGAUUUAAUCAGAAAUUAUCGUCAAUAUAUCAAACCCAGUCAACACAAUGCUUUCAUCGUGGACACAAUGGCUUGAUGUAUAUUUUAUAAUUCCUCUUGGUAAUCCCAUCUGACCCCUACAGGCGGUUUCUUAGCAGAGGUUGGGUGGCCAUCUGUCAUGGAUGCUUUAGCUGAGAUUCCAGCAUUGCUGGGGGUUGGACUAGAUGACUCUUGGGGAUCCCUUGCAAUUCUACGAUUCUAUGACUAUUUGAGCUGCUGAGAUCAUAUUGCUAUGAGUUUGUGGGCGCCUUGACUCCCCUGAAUUCCUGGGUCUGGUGGUUUCUGGAGUUUAAUCAAUGCUUGGAGUAUGAAGAUGGGCUGACAGGCGCUAAAUUUAGCAGUGUCAAAACACAGGCCCAACCAGUUUUUCUGUGCUCAGAAUCUCGCCUACAAGAAGAAGAAAAGGAAGGUAAUGCAUAAAAGGAAGGUAAUGGGUGAUUAGCAAAGCAGAUACAACAGAUGGGUGUGAGCCCCUCCUUCCACGAAACUCUUCCAUGGAGACAGAGAGAGAGAGAGAGCAGAGGAAAAGUGUCCAUUUGUAAAAUGCAGGAAGCUGGAGCUGAAGGACAGAUAGCAUUGCCUGAUUCCUGCUGGCAUCCCAGACUGUGGCCAUGGGAGAAGCAAGACUCUCUUAGAGUGCUAAUGCUGUGAGCCCUUCCAUCCUAGGCUCAAGCUGUAUAUCUGUGUAAAUAAACCAUAUAUGCUAAAGACACCACAGUCUCCGCUGAGCCUCGCUCCCAAAAGGGAACACCACCGCUGAGUAAAGUGCCUGGAACCCUCUGGAGGUUGGAGUGGCAGGUGAAAAUGUGUAAAGACUGGUUCUUUCGACAAUGCAUCUCUCUUGGUCUCAUCAAAAAUAUCCAGUAACAUUGUUUUGGACAACAAGCAACAGGGGCUGCCUGAAGAUGUGAGCCUCCUUCAGAAAGGGGUUCCCCUCAAGGCCAAAGAGCCAAAGCUGCCCACUUUGUGACACCCUGAGCCAGUGACAGGCUGACCGUCUCUCCCAGGAGGAGGUGCUGAGCCUGCUUCUUGCUGUGGGGUGGUGGAGAAAUGGGAGGGGGCACUGGCUGGGUGCAAGAGAGAGAAGAGGGAUCCAGGGAUGGUGGGAGGCAGAGGGGCAAAUGUCUGGGUGAUGGGGAGACCUGGAGGCAACCAACAUGGGUCUGGUCAGGUGGGGCAGGUGGGUUUCUGUGGAAGAGAAUCCUUGUCUGGAUGGCUGGAGCGGCUGCCUCAAGGAAGAAUUGGAAGGAGUCAAGCCCAUGAUUCUAAGAGCCCCAGAAGAGCCCCAAAGCAGCAGAUGGAUCAGGCCAAACGGCGGCCGUCAGUUCCAGGAUCCUGUUUCCCAUUGUUGCAGGAAACACCCCCCCCAAUCAUUCAGUUUGUACAACACACACACUCACACACACACAUGACAUACGCGACGUUUCUGUUAUAAAUUCAUAGAAAAUCAGCUGUACAUCGGAUCUCUAGUGUUCCACUUUUAUUUUACACCAUGAAGGAAGGACUAUCAAAGGGGGGAGACUUGACACAAGGCAGCCAACACGUCCGCAGGGAGCCCUACCCAGUUGGCAUGCCAACCUUGAUGGUCCUAGACAGAAGAUCAUUCCACUCACAAAGGGCCUGCAUAUGGAAGUGGAUUCAGUACGACUGAAACACAGGACAGUGACCAGCCCUUCCCUCUGGGGGCAGGAAACAGUGAACUCCUCUUUGUCCUCAGGAAUGUAAUCAUGGGAAGGAGAAAGGAGGAACCGGACAGGUGGCAAGACACUCAGGUUACCACCACAACUCCUCCCUGAACCCCUCCUCUUUGUGAUGUGUCAAUGAUGUAGUCAUGAUGUAGUUAUGAUGUAGUCUUGGGGGUGUAGCGUGGGGGAUUAGCAGCUAAUAAAAGUUUGGGGUCUACUUUUGUUUAGGGCUUCCAUCUUGUUCUACCUGGUGGCAGGUGGGAGUCCUGUGGCGACAGUCUUCAAUCAAGACCAAGCCUACUGGCUGCUGUUUUGCUCUGGUAUUCCUGGCUGGUGUCCUUGUUUUUUUUUUUUUUGUCCAAGGAAGCUCUCAGAUUUCUCCGUUAACAGCAUUGUGGCCAGCCAGGAAAGCCCACAGGCAGGAGCAAGCUUGUUUUCUCCUGCACCGGAGGGCAGGACUCGAAUACAUGGCUUCAAGUUGCAAGAAAGGGGGUUCGGACUAAACACCAAGAAGAACCUUCUGAAGGAAAGAGCUGUAGAACAGACGCCCUUGGGAGGUGGUGGACUCUCCUUCCUUGGAGGCUUUUAGGUCGAUAGUCAUCUGUCAGGGAUUCUUGAGCUGUGAUUCCUGCAUUGCAGGGGUUGGACUAGAUGACCCUAGGGUCCCUUCCAACUCUAAAGCUGUAUGAACCCAUCAUACGGUAUACCUGAAGGAGCGUCUCCACCCCCAUCGUUCUACCCGGACACUGAGGUCCAGCUCCGAGGGCCUUCUGGCAGUUCCCUCACUGCGAGAAGCCAAGUUACAGGGAACCAGGCAGAGGGCCUUCUCAGUGGUGGCACCCACCCUGUGGAACAUCCUCUCACCAGAUGUCAAAGAGAAGAACAACUACCAGACUUUUAGAAGACAUCUCAAGGCAGCCCUGAUUAGGGAAGCUUUUAAUGUUUAACAGAUCACUGUAUUUUAAUACUUUGUUGGAAGACACCCAGAGUGGCUGGGGAAACCCAGCCAGAUGGACAGGAUAUAAAUAUAUUAUUAUUAUUAUUAUUAUUAUUAUUAUUAUUAUUACCAUCAUCAUCAUCUUCAUCAUCAUCACCAUCAUCUUCAUCAUUAUCAUCACGGUGCCAGGUCUUCUGCUCUUCCCCGUUGGGCACAGAGUGCUCUGCCCAGCACCAGGCCUUUCUGUGCCCAGUUCUCUCAUGUUCCGUUUUCCUAGUUGCCCUCCUACAGAUGUUGCGGGGGGGGGCACGGACCCAGCACAGUGUAUUCCAAAAAACAUUAAACAGUAGCUUCAGAAAGCAAACCAUUAUCCUCCCUUGGCAAUGCUUCUUUGGGUUAUUUAUUUUAUUUAUACCUAAGUUUCUACGGCGCUCCUCAGCUCCCCAGGGUUUCCCAGAAUGCCUCACAAAUUAUUAGAAACAGAAAGGAUGACGAUGGAGCGCUAGAAUGGCAGAACAAGGGGGACCCAGCGAGGAAGGGCGAGACCCAAGCCAAAAGGGAGCCAGCCAAACAAUUAACCCAGAGCAAGCAAUGGAAGCGCCAUUGGACCAAGAGAUCCGAUGCUGAUUUGGUCCAGUUACGCAGAGCAGAGAUAGGAGAUGUCGCUCCUGUAUUUGCAGAACAGCUGUCAGAGAUAUUCAUAGAAUCAUAGAAUCAUAGAAUCAUAGAAUCAUGGAGUUGGAAGAGACCACAAGGGCCAUCGAGUCCAACCCCCUGCCAAGCAGGAAACACCAUCAGAGCACUCCUGACAUAUGGUUGUUCCUGAGGCUGUUCAGCCCAGGAUGGGGAGCAGACCGUGAAGAAAGGCUGCUCUGUCUUCCAUGUGAAAGCCCUUCAGAUAUUGGGAGAUGGCUAUCAUAUCACAUCUCAGGGCUUAGCCACAAUACUACUACUCCUUUAUUACUUAUAUCCCAGCCACUCUGGGUGGCUUCCAACGGAAGAUUAAAAAUACAUUAGAACAUCAGUCAUUAAAAGCUUCCCUAAACAAGGCUGCCUUCAGAUGUCUUCUAAAUGUCAGAUAGUCGUUGAUUUCCUUGACAUCUGGUGGGAGGGCAUUCCACAGGGCAGGCGCCACCACCAAGAAGGCCCUCUGCCUCGUUCCCUGUAGCUUCACUUCUUGCAAUGAGGGAACCGCCAGAAGGCCCUUGGCGCUGGACCUAAGUGUCCAGGCAGAACGAUGGGGGUGGAGAUGCUCCUUCAGGUCUACUGGACCGUUGAGGCCGUUUAGGGCUUUCAAGGUCAGCACUUUUGCCCUGCUCUUUCCAGGCACUGGUCCGAGCUCAAAUGCACCAUGUCCAAGCGUUGCUUCUUUGCCCCGGAGGUUCCCCUGCGGAAAACACUCUUUAAUGCUCAAUCAGAGCCAACGUCAAUGUAGAUUUCCUGUGUAUUGAUUACCAUUUGCUCUGAUUGAGCUUUAAAAGGCAGGUUUUUGUGGGGAAAGCUCGGGGUGUGUGUGUGUGUGGAGGCACUCAGACAUGGUGUGGUCUGACCAAGGCAGAAGAGAGUGUUACUCUGACUUCCCUUGAUUGGGACACUAGACUUCAUGCAGCCUAGAAUAGCAUUCAUGUUUUUUGCUGCUGCAACACACUGGUGUCUCCUGUUAAGUUUGUGUCCCACCAAGACAGAGCAUAGCUGUCAACUUUUCCCUUUUCUUGCGAGGAAUCCUAUUUGGAAUAAGGGAAUUUCCCUUUAAAAAAGGGAAACGUUGACAGCUAUGCCUAGAUCUUUUCCACAAUUACUGCUAGUAUGCCAUAAGUACUGCUGGCUGCCCCUCCCAGCUUCAUGAAUGAGAAGCCCUGCUCCCCACCUCAAAUAAACUCUGCUGGCAACUGGGGCUGAGUCCCUGUUCCUGCUCUCCAGAACCCACUGAGCUCAUUACUCUUGGACUUGAAUGCGUUAUGCAAAGUGGUUUCCACUCCCCUGAGGAGCUGUGAGCAAAAACCAUCUUUCCAAAGUUGAGCUGAAAUAAUCAAGGGUUUUCAAAUUCAUGAAUCAAAGAGGCAUGCUUGUUUCCUCUGGCAAAUACUUGAAUCCAAAUUUAUGGCCUUCAAGAAUCUCAGUCACCUUCCCUGCCUCUGACUAAUUUGCUUGUUUUGCUUUUCACAAUCUGCAAUUCAUAAUCUGGGAAUUUGCAGUUUAAUAAUUCACACUUUGUGAAUCUGCAAUCUCCUUUCUUAAAAAAACAAAAAUUAGGUAAUGAAAGAGCCACGAGGCUCCCAAAGGUUUGUGCUAAAGCUGAACCUUUUCGCAACCACCAAAACCUGCUGUCAGGUCGUGAUAAUCCUAAACUCAGAAAUCUGACCCACAGAAACCCACAAAUGCAGCAACCAGAACAGGAAUGAGAGUUGUCUAAUCUCUAAAUUUCUAAAUAGAAAAGACAGGCUCGGUCUUGAUCAUCUGGGUUGUCACUGCAGACAAAUAUCCCUGGGAAGAGCAGGAAGGCGGGUUCUCUACUUCACUCACCUAGACUACAUCCAGACCCCUGCUGUGGAGCUUCUGGGGGUCAUCAGUGGCUGCCAGCUCAGAUAGAGAGUGGGGGGAGGGGGAGGAAAUAAAUGAUAGGAUCAUAGAACUGUAGAGCUGGGGGACCCCAACGGUCAUCUAGCCCAACCCCCUGCAAUGCAGGAAUCACAGCUAAAACAUCAGAAACCUGAUCCUAAUAUUUAGUCAAAAACUCCUUAUCAUUUGAAUCCAUGGAUUUAGGAUCUCCUAUCUGGAGCAGCAGAAAACAAGCUUGCUCCAUACAGCAGCCCUUUUGGUAUCUGAAGAUGGCUUUCAUGUCCAGGCUGAACAUAUCCAAGCUCCUUCAACCAUUCCUCAUCAGGCUUGGUUUCCAGACCCUGGAUCAUCUUGGUCGCCCUCCUCUGCCCACCUUCCAGCUUGUCAACAUCCUUCUUAAAUUGUGAUGCCCAGAACUGGACACAGUGUUCCAGGUGUGGUCUGACCAAGGCAGAAUAGAGUGGGACUCUUACUUCCCUUGAUCUGGACACUAGACUUCUAGUAUUUGGGCUUUUUUUGCUGCUGCCUCACCCUGUGGACUCAUCUUCAGCUUGUGGUCCACCAAGACCCCAGAUCCUUUCCACAUGUCCUGCUAGUGAGCCAGGUGCCCCCCAUCCUAUAUUGGUGCAGCUGGUUUCUUCUGCCUAAGUGCAGAACUUUACA